rnacentral:lncRNA from 1 species
GCUGCUAGGCGCGUGAACAGUGCUGGACAGCGGCGGCGCGUGGACUCACGCGCCGCCGCGAGAACGCCGAAAAAAAAAGGUUGGCCGGAUUCUGCUUCUUCUUCCUUUUCCCUCCCCACAGACGGUAAGAAACCACAUCAUCUACAACAAAAACAAACGCACAAACAGUCGAUUUUAAGCUUUUAUUUCUUUGUUUUCGGAUCUGAUUUUUGUUCUUUCUUCUCCGAUCUGCUGCUUCCUCUUCUUCUUCAGAUCGUCUUCCCUGUACUGGCGACGACUGCUGGAGGCCGGAGCAGCGGGUGGCGCCGCUGGGGAAAGGAGUUGCUGCGGUUGGCUUCGGUGGGCGCUGGGUUUCGUCUUCUUCUCCUCUGCUUCGAGUGGCAGAUCGGUGGAGAGGCGGCCGGUGAGAAAGGAUAGUGAAGUUGUUGCUGGAGGCCGAUCUGUUACUAGGGGUUCGGAUCCGGUCUCGACGGGCUGGCCAGUUGCCGUGGUCGGGUCCGUUCGUUGACCCAGAGAGGGAGGCCGAUGGGUCGGCUGAGGGAGGAGGAUAUGGCCGGAUUCGUGGGGAUGAGGGAGGGAGAUCAACGAUGGCCGGUUCUCUGGUUAGGAAAGGAGCGACCGGGAGAGAAGAAGAGGGGUUGUCCUGGCGGCCGGUUGGAGAAGAAAAAUCAGAAGGUGGGGGGGUGUUUGGCCGGUUCUUUGUGAGGAAAAAAAUGACGGCGAGGGAGGAUGGAGAGGCUACAGGAGAAGAUGAGGUCGGCUGAGAAGGUCUGUGUGGGGGAGAAAAAAAAUCAAUGUGGGGGCCGACGGCUGGUUUUCAGAGAAGAACACUAGGGAAAAAAUUUUAAAACCAGGAGGGAGGCGCCGCCAACCCCUUUUUUUUUUUUUAGUGGCUAGAAAAAGUUGGGUUUUAGGGUUUUUGUAUUUUUUCUGAAUGUGUCAAAAUUGACCUCCCCCCCUUUGUGUGAGUUAAAGACCAGUAUUUAUAGGCAAAAAGGUUGCCAAGUUUUUCAACUUGGUCCCUCAACUUCUUUCUUUUUGUAAACUUUGAUUUUUCUUAUUUUUUGUAUUUUUUGAAAACGAGCAAUAUCAACGUCGAUUCAACGAGGAAAAUCAAUGUUUUUUUUUAAAAAUGACGCGUGAAAAGUCGAACGCGUUUGAAAAUCUUUUAACAAUUUAAAUUCUUUUUUUUAGACGGCGUUGAAAAUUCUAAAAUGACGAAAAUAUAUUAAAAAAACAUAUUUUUUGGAUUUUCUUUGUUUUUUUUAAUUUUUUUGGAUUUUUUUGAAAAUAUAUCAAAACAUGGGUCAAAAAUUAGGUAGCAACAGAUGCCCCCUCUUUACAAUGCUUACGAAGCAAAACUCCUCAAAAUUUUGCAUAGUAAGCUUUGUAAAGAAAACAAAAGGAAAAUUAUUUCAUUAUCUUGGGCGACCUGCCCACACACUCACACUGGUCUAUUUUCACGGUCGACCUGCCCACACAUACUCACUUUGGUCUAUUUUCACGGGCGACCGGCCCACACUCUCACACUGGUCUAUUUUCACGGGCAACCUGCCUUUUUAAUUGGGUUUACCUGAGAUCCCAUCUGGCGACCUCCUUCAACUGGAACGAAAAUAUUGUGUAACUCGGUUAACUUGAAAUCCCAUCUGGCAAUUCCCUUUACCAAAGCUACAUGAGAUCCCAUCUGGCGACCUCAUUCAAUUGGAACGAAAUAUGCGUAACUCGGUUAACCUGAAAUCCCAUCUGGCGAUUCCCUUUAACCAAAGCUACCCGAGAUCCCAUCUGGCGACCUCAUUUAACCAAAACAAAAGAAUGUGUGAAAAAUGGUCUCAUUGUAUGGGUGACGAACCCAAGAAAAAAAAGAUGGUCUCAUUGUAUGGGUGACCGACCCAAGAAAAAAUGAUGGUCUCAUUGUAUGGGUGACGAACCCAAGAAAAAAAAUGAUGGUCUCAUUGUAUGGGUGACCGACCCAAGAAAAAAUGAUGGUAUCAUUGUAUGGGUGACGAACCCAGAAAAAUGAUGGUCUCAUUGUAUGGGUGACGAACCCCAGAAAAAUGAUGGUCUCAUUGCAUGGGUAACGAACCCAAAAAAAUGAUGGUCUCAUUGUAUGGGUGACGAACCCAGAAAAAUGAUGGUCUCAUUGUAUGGGUGACGAACCCAAAGAAAAUGAUGGUCUCAUUGUAUAGGUGACGAACCCAAAAAUGAUGGUCUCAUUGUAUGGGUGACGAACCCCAGAAAAAUGAUGGUCUCAUUGUAUGGGUGACGAACCCAAAGAAAAUGAUGGUCUCAUUGUAUGGGUGACGAACCCCAGAAAAAUGAUGGUCUCAUUGUAUGGGUGACGAACCCAAGAAAAUGAUGGUCUCAUUGUAUGGGUGACGAACCCUAGAAAAAUGAUGGUCUCAUUGUAUGGGUGACGAACCCAAGAAAAAUGAUGGUCUCAUUGUAUGGGUGACGAACCCCAGAAAAAUGAUGGUCUCAUUGUAUGGGUGACCUACCCAAGAAUGGAAAAAAUAUGAAGUGGGGUCUCAUUGUAAUGGGUGACCUAUCCAGAUGGAAAAAAUAUGAUGAAGUGCGGUCUCAUUGUCAUGAGUGACCUACCCGGAUGGAAAAAAAAUGUGAUAUGACAAGCGUGAAGAAAAAAAAAAUAGGACUUACUUGGCGAAGUCUGAGGGGAUGAUAGAAGAAGGGCUGGAAAACUUGGUGCUUCCUGAUAAUUCCCGAUCAUAAGGUUUGAAAACUCGGUGUUUCCUGACUGCAAGGGUUGAAAACUCGAGGCUUCCCGGUUGCAAGGUUGAUCUAUUCAUUUCUUUGGGAUUUUCCUAAUGGUAGGGUUCAUCCCAUCGUCCUUUUAUUUCAUGAUCAAAACCGAUUCUUUAUUUAUCAUCACCACAAUGCUUCUUUCUCUUUCCACCAUCUUGCUGGACCUCAUUACAUAUUUUCCUGUAACAAUUCAAAAAUAUGUGCAAAUGUUUUUUUUUUUUUUUGAGGUUAGAUGACAUGCAUGCGUCCUUACCUGAUUUGAAAUAUAGGUCCCCUCCUCUUUGAUGCUCCAUCGCCAUAGGGUGCCCUUGUUUGUAUCCCAAAGCUUUCUUUGUUCUUCCAAUGCAUUGACUCAUUCAUGUACUAGCCAUCCACUCAGCUGUAAAUGCAGUGCCCAUCCCGGGCUGUCUUCGACAAUUACUGCUUGCAUCGUUCAUCAAACUUGACCUUGCCCCCAAGUGUGGUAAUGCGUGAAGGAUUUUCUCUCAUGGUUUCUUCUAAGAAUUAUCCUCUAAUUGAUUGUGUGCAUCAUGUCAAUACCCAUCAAGAUUGUUAAUCAGUCAUGAACUUGACUCUAGUUGAAACAGUACUCUUCAAGUACAUGUUGUCAUCAGCCUUCUUGGAACUCAUCCAGUCAUCCAGACAUGCAUCUCAUAGCUUGCAGUAUAAAGGCUCAUGGUUGUAUGCUCAGUGCUCUUCUCAUAGAUUCCUUUCAACUCUUCUAAUCAGAUUGUGAAAAGAAAGGUCUCAGCCCCAUCAAUGAUGCUGCUUUUUAUCACCCAUACUCAUGCAGUGAAGCGCUCAUCUGGCUUCAGAACAAGUUGUCUCAUAAUCAGUCUUCGAGGUGGGUGCCUUUCCGACAUUCAUUUAGUGUAGUUGUGUGAACACGUCAGUCGAUAACCAUGUUUAAAAGGAUGACAAUAUGAGAUUGUCCUUCAAGUGCAGCAUUGUUCCACAGUCACUCUUGGUGGUAUGCAUCUUUUUGCCAUUUAAUUACAUUCAUCUGUGUAUCUUCAUCGAUUGCUAGCCCUGUUUCAAAAGAUGAUGAUAUGAAAGUGUCCUUCAAGUACAUCCUUGUUUCUCCAUUGCCGACAGGGUUCACUGGAGCAUGGGCCAUUUUGGAAUGACAUUGCCCCCAGGUGGUCAACGUUUCAAGGAGUGUCGAGAAAUGUUGAUGUCAUUUUUGUCAAGAAUUUUGCAAGCUCAAUUGAUGUUCUUGUUUGAAAAUCUUUCUUGUUCUGAAAUCAAAUCUCAUAUUUCAAAGAUCAUGUUUAUUCAAAGUCUAGUUGUUGAGAUGAAAUCAGAGAGAUAUCAGUUUUUGAAAAGUUAUUUUUGAAAUUCGAGCUCCUUUGGUCAAAGACCCAACACACUAUUCAAUGCAGUCCUUUGAUUGUCUUGUAUUUUGAAAACAGAAAUGACCCGUUGUAAGAUUUAAAAUGACUUUUUCAUGGUUCUUUGUGUCCACUUUAAACUCUGAUUUUGGGUAUAUCCUUUGAUGGUCUGUGAUGAGGUGAUAUUUUUGUGAACUUCAAAUGACUAGGUGCUCAGGCUUGAUAAAAAAAGGUUGUUUCUUUUAUCAGUAUUUAUUUUAUCAGCAUGCAUAAUAACCAGUAGCCUAAUUCAUGAAGCCACGACCCUUACGGAAAAAACUCUUCAAGUUUUGAGAUCGCCAUUUAUUGGUUCAGAUUGCUUGCUUGAUUAAAAAGGGCUUUUAAAAGCACGUAAUGCAGGCUAUGGUUCAUGGCUAUGAAAGAAAGGAAUUCCAUAGGCUCAAAAGGUGUUUGAGGGUUUCAACGACCUAGGAGCAACAUUAACUAUUCAUUGAUUCUCUUUCUCUUGUUGUCAUUAUAAAUAGUGACAUAUAACCUUGUUAAUCUUCAAAUAUCAGAAUUCUCUUAACAUAGGUCAUAAUGCAAAUCCAACUUUUUCUUUGAUGAAUAAACUAAUCUAAUUAUUUUUGAAGACAUUAGAGGCUCUAUCCAAGACACACCAAAAGAUACGCAGCAUCGAUUUUUCUAGUGUUGACUUUUGGCAUUUUGUCCUUUCUCAAUUAAAAACUGUCUUGCCUCUCUUAGGAUUGAUAGGCAUUUUCUUUCCUUUCCAUUUUCUCAACUUUUCUUCUUUUUUUUUUCUUUUUUUUUGCAUAGCCUUCCUCAAAGUUUUUCUUGGAUGACCCUCAAUCUAUGGAUUUUCUUCUUCUAGCCCUUUCUCAAACAUUGGACUUUUGUUCUAAGCUUUUCUUUGAUCCAUUGGUUUUAUCAGUGUCUCCAAAAUAUUUCUCAUUUGCCCCCAGGGUGGGGUGUGAUCCUAGUCAGGGUUUCCUUUUGAAAGAAAAUAUCUCACCAAGCUCAAAAUGGGACUACAAGGGAUAUAAUUUUUAGAAAGUGAAGGGAUAUCAAAGAUGGCCUUUUCUCAUUUCAAGCAAGGUCGGUUAGAACCGAUAAAUUUUGACCUCAUCCCGUGUAAUGAUUUGGACUUGUAAGAGUCAAUGAUUCACGAGUCCAUAACUACCAAAUCCACUACAUGUCAUUAUGCAUACUGCUAAAACUUAGCUAUAUGAUGUGUGGUUCAGUUUCAAAAGGUAUGAGUUCAAAAUUAUUUGGUCACCUCAUGUCAUUUUCAAGCAUAGAAUCAUUUCUGUAAUCAAAACACUUUUAAUCUUCCGGAUUGAUUAACCUUUAUCGCAUGUUGGAGUUUGAUCAAAAUAUUUUGUCAGAAUAAAAUGCUAAAUAUCUGUUGAUUUCAAAACAACAAAGAGACAAAAGCAAGGCAUGUUUCGUUGAAGGAUGAGAUGUGAUCCCAAAACAAAAUGCAGAAUUCCAUAACAAUAUGAUUGACUGUUCAUCACCAUUCUCGAAUCAGCUUUUCUGGCAAUAUCUGUGUUUUGCCAAGCAUUUUCGAUCACAUGUCAUUCUGAAGAUGUUCGGGGAACAAUAUAGCCAAUGACACCCUCCUUCAACGACUCCACUUGUCUCUUGCUCACCAACUUUCAGACUCGCUUCUUGAAAUUCUUGCAAUUGCUCAAUUGAGGACCCCAUCAUGGCAUCACAUCUCUUGUCUGGAUUAAACCACCAAAAAAAUAAUGGUUGCAUGGGAUUUGUCGGAGUCAGGUAAAAGUUUGGAAUCUAGCAGAUGCUGGCAAGUAAACUCACAUGACAACUAUUCACUUGAAAUUCUUGCAAUUAUUCCAUUGAAAUGGCCGAGAACCCCAUCAUGACAUCACAUCUCUUGUCUAGAUUGAACCACUUGGAAAAUAGUGGUUACAUAGGAUUUGUCGGAGUCAAGCAAAAUUCUAGAAUCUGGCAGAUGCUGGCCGACAAACUUAAGUGGCAGAGGAAUGUCCCAUCUUGGCAAAGAUAUUUGAGCAAUUGAUGCUACCGUGAGACCUGGCUAUACCACAUAAUUAAGGGCUCACACCGUCAAAGGCAUCUUCUGAUUCACCUCUCAUCAUUGUUCUAGAAUCCAUGGCAGAUCCUUCAAUCUUUCUUCUCUUCAUAGCUUGUUCAAUUCUUCGGAAAAUCCUCACAACAUUAUUUCAAUCUUCCAAUGUUGCUAUGGUUGGUUGAGGAUUGUUAGAAAACUUUCUAACAGCUUGGUAAUCUUGGCAGCGCCCAAAAACUUAUAGUAUCGCCACUACCAACACGUGGAAUCAUGCCUUAUCUCUUCUAUUGGAGAAAACGAUGAACAUGAAUCUCCUCUAUUUCUUCUUCGAUUCCUCUCGAACGAUGCAGCAAACAAGCACCAAUAAGGGAGUUCUGCUCUAUUGAAGUUUCAGUCUUCUUCAUGUUUCUCAGUCUAGGCAUGUAUCUUCUCUCUACUUUUGCAUUUUAAUACUGACACUGUUGAAGGAAAAUCAUAGAUGAUCUGAAACUACUAUAUUCCUUCUUGGAUUUCCCACUUGCGGAUCCACAAAUAGAUUCCUGCCGAGAGAGCUCUGCUUCGUUGAAGUUUGAUGUCUGCUCGUAUUUUCAGACCAGGUCUGGCUCUUCAACCUACUAAGAGGUCUUCGUGCUGAAACUGAUGAGAGAAAUAUUUGUAGCAUAUGCAACUUAUAAAUCCCCUCUUGCCUUCCCAAUUUGCAGAGCCAUAAAUUGAUUUUUGUAGAGAGAGCUCUGCCACAUUGAAGUUCAGUGUUCAAUCAUGGUUUUUUCAGACCAUCUUGUGCUGCUGAACUGGAAUUGAGCUCGUAAUCGGGGUAACUUCAAAGCAGAUUAAUGCACCAUGUACAGGAGACCGGUAGUUGUUUGGUUCCAUUAGAUGAUGUGGAGGCGAUGAACAUUUAAAAUGCAACUGGAUAAGAACCAGAGUUGUCAUUAGUUGAUGACUGAAGGCGUUGUUGCUUUUGUUCAUGACGAAAAAGGAGAGAUACACUUCAAUUAGAUGUGAACAAGCAAUGUUCCCACAGAAGACUGUGCAGAUAUUCUCUUUCCAUUUGAUGCUAACACUUGUUCGAGCAGAUCUGAGUCUAGCUACUUCACAUUUAAUGCUCUCAACCUUAAUCUGAUAAUGAGCCUCUAUCUGACACCUUUCUUCACCUCCAUCAUUUUUCUCCAAUCACGUGCAGCACAACUUGUGUGGGGGACCUACCUUUCAACCCGGUACAUGUAUGAUAAAUGUAUGAACAUGUAAUCUAUAUGAUGAACUCACCCUUCGAGAGGUGACAAUAUGGUCGUAACUCUUGUAUGAUGGACAAGAAUCGUGAUUUUUGCCCAAACUCUACAAUGAAAAUUUUCGGAGCAACGACCAAUGUGUCACCCACAAGUCUUGAGUUCAAGAUGCUUCAAGAAGGGUUUGCCCUUAUGCAAAAAACGAUAGCACAUACAACCUAAGGACAGUUCUAUUCAUUAUGUGAACAUGGGUAGGUUUUCUAUCUGGUCUCAAAAGGGUCUCAUAUCUGCCCAGUGACGUUCUUCGUAAAGACAGUAUGGGGGCGUUGCAAAGAAUGGUUAAGGCACGUAUACCCACCAUUACCAAGCAGGCACUCAGAUAUGAGUUGGGUGUUUCACGCAUCUGAACCCUGACCAAUAGUCUUAGGGCAGAUCGCUAGUUCCCCACCUAACCUAGAAGCUUGUGUGUGCUUUUAAAAAUAAAUACAGGUGAUGCAUGAGACAAUUCUAUAAAAUGCAUGGAAAUAAAUAUUAACAAAAAGAUAAAAAUGCAAAAACUUAAACACAUCAAAUACACAAAGCUUAGUCCAAUAAUAUCAAAAACAGUACCGUCCCCAGUGGAGUCGCCAUUCUGUCGCACCCCAAAAAAAAUCAGCGCGCGGCAUCGGCUGUCGAUUUUUCGUCUCGUUGUUGUUUGCUUGAAUUUGGUUCGUUGGAGUCGCCACCCAGUAAUUUAUUUCGGGCUACUAGGAAACCGGAUGUACUGGUCUUGUUAGAGAUUCGCGGGUAAGGGACUGGUUGUGGUUAGGGAAGGUAUUUGCACUCCUAACGCACCCUACCUGAGGUAAGCUGCUUCGUGGCUUUGACGUGUUAAAGAAGUUUUAAUAAUUGUCUUUUCAUCGGAAAUUAGAAAUAUCACUUACGUAUAAGUUAAUAAUUCUUAACCGUGAUCCGAUCAAAAUAUUAAAUUCUUCUUUAAUAUAUUUGCAAUUUUAUCAUAAAAAAUAUAUACAAAUAAAUAAAACAAAAUACAAGCACACACAUACACUUUCACUAUUUUAUUUUUGUUUCUUUUCUUUUCUUUUCUUUUACAUCCAUAUUUACAUAAAUAUAAAUUACAAAAAAAAUCAAAACUAAACAAAUUACAUUAAACAAUUCUAAAACUACAAAACAGUCCCUAAAUAGUCCAAGAAGUGCAGGGAAGUCCAUUUAGAACCGCAGGAACAGUGCUCGGGAAGGCUGCUAGGCGCGUGAACAGUGCUGGACAGCGGUGGCGUGUGGAUUCACGCGCCGCCGCGAGAACGCCGAAAAAAAAAGGUUGGCCGGAUUCUGCUUCUUCUUCCUUUUCCCUCCCCGCAGACGAUAAGAAACCACAUCAUCUACAACAAAAACAAACGCACAAACAGUCGAGUUUAAGCUUUUAUUUCUUUGUUUUCGAAUCUGAUUUUUGUUCUUUCUUCUCCGAUCUGCUGCUUCCUCUUCUUCUUCAGAUCGUCUUCCCUGUACUGGCGACGACUGCUGGAGGCCGGAGCAGCGGGUGGCGCCGCUGGGGAAAGGAGCUGCUGCGGUUGGCUUCGGUGGACGCUGGGUUUCGUCUUCUUCUCCUCUGCUUCGGGUGGCAGAUCGGUGGCUUGGUGGAGAGGCGGUCGGUGAUAAAGGACAGUGAAGUUGUUGCUGGAGGCCGAUCUGUUACUAGGGGUUCGGAUCCGGUCUCGACGGGCUGGCCAGUUGCCGUGGUCGGGUCCGUUCGUUGACCCGGAGAGGGAGGCCGAUGGGUCGGCUGAGGGAGGAGGAUAUGGUCGGAUUCGUGGGGAUGAGGGAGGGAGAUCAACGGUGGCCGGUUCUCUGGUUAGGAAAGGAGCGACCGGGAGAGAAGAAGAGGGGUUAUCCUGGCGGCCGGUUGGAGAAGAAAAAUCAGAAGGUGGGGGGGUGUUUGGCCGGUUCUUUGUGAGGAAAAAAAUGAUGGCCGGGGGAGGAUGGAGAGGCUACAAGAGAAGAUGAGGUCGGCUGAGAAGGUCUGUGUGGGGGAGAAAAAAAAUCAAUGUGAGGGUCGGCGGCUGGUUUUCAGAGAAGAACACUAGGGAAAAAAUUUUAAAACCAGGAGGGAGGCGCCGCCGGCCCCUUUUCUUUUUUUUUAGUGGCUAGAAAAAGUUGGGUUUUAGGGUUUUUGUAUUUUUUCUGAAUGUGUCAAAAUUGACCUCCCCCCCUUUGUGUGAGUUAAAGACUAGUAUUUAUAGGCAAAAAGGUUGCCAAGUUUUUCAACUUGGUCCCUCAACUUCUUUCUUUUUGUAAACUUUGAUUUUUCUUAUUUUUUUGUAUUUUUUGAAAACUAGCAAUAUCAACGUCGACUCAACGAGGAAAAUCAAUGUUUUUUUUUAAAAAUGACGCGUGAAAAGUCGAACGCGUUUGAAAAUCUUUUAACAAUUUAAAUUCUUUUUUUUAGACGGCGUUGAAAAUGCUAAAAUGACGAAAAUAUAUUAAAAAAACAUAUUUUUUGGAUUUUCUUUGUUUUUCUCAAUUUUUUGGAUUUUUUUUGAAAAUAUAUCAAAACAUGGGUCAAAAAUUGGGUAGCAACAUAUAAUAUAAUUAUGAUGUUAUUAAUUAUAUAAUUAAUAUUAGUAAUUUAUAAAAAUAAUAUAAAAUUUAAUAAAAUAAUAUGAAAGUUAAAAGAUAUAAUUUAAAAUUAAACUUAAAAUUUAUUUAUAUGAAUAUUUUUAAUUUUCAGUUUUAUAUAUUACUGUUAAAAAUUUAAUUUUUUAAAAGUAAAUUCAAAUUCAUGCCUUGAAAAAAUAACCGCCACCAUUUAAUUUUUAAAUUUGAGAGAAGGGUGAGGCACAAUACAAAAAUUUAAAACUACAAGUUUUUUCUUCAUGUAUUUAUAGAAAACAUUUUCUAUAUUUAAAAAAAAAAAAAAAACAGAGCUGCUGGCCAUCGGCUAUAAAAAUUGCCGUUGGUCAUUUUGGCCAUUUCUAUAGUUAUAUAUAGAAAUGACUAUUGAGAGCAUAAAUAACCAUUUUGACUUUUCAUUUAGCAUACCGGUUGGAAUACAAAUAGCGAAGAAGGUUUAGCUUUUCAUUUGCCUGCUCCGUUGGAGCUACCCUACAUCCACUUCCGGUCGUAAAUUUGAUUAUCUUAGUUAAAUAUUAGAGGGGCCCGGGGCAUCCAUCGGUUUUAGCCCAAAAAAAAAAACAUUUAAUCCAGACCUUGCAAGCCAAGUAUUUUUUUUAUUUAUAAAUAUAUUAAAAUAAUAUAUUUUUUAUUUUUAAAAUUUUAUUUUUGAUGUUAAUAUAUUAAAAUAAUUUAAAAUUAAAAAAAAACUAUUUUUUUUCUUAAAAAUAAAACACUACUGUCAAGACCAACAGCACAGACAUGAUGUUAAUUACAUGCGUGGAUUCUGUCUGAAUUUUAAUUAGUAUACCAAGACAUUGUCCAAAAAAUUAUUUUAGAGAUUAUUAUCAUUUCAACUGGGGCAGUUCAUAUUUUAAGUCAUCGGUUGAAAUAAAAAAUUAAAAUUAAAAUGGACAUAUUUUUUUUUAAAAAAAUAAUAAACCAGCCUCUCUAGUCCGAGAGAUUGUUCUGAUUUAUCUUAAAUUUUAUCCUUUUAUAUUUUAUAUAUACAAGUUGCUUUUGAAUGAUACUGUAGGGAGAAAAAUCAUUUAUUUUUUGCAAUCAAAAUUAAAUUUUCAAAUAAAAUAAAUAAAAAUGUAUAAAAUAAAAAUGAAAACCAAAAUAAAAUAUUGCAUACACUUUCAUCUUUUGUACUUACUUCAAAUAUCAGCUUUUGUUUUAGUAUUUGAUUAGUGUUAAUAAUUUUUAUUUAUUUAUCGGUAUAUAUAUUAUUUAGUUUGUUUUAUCAAGUAUAAAUACCAUCUUUAUCUUUCUUAAUAAAAAAACUAUGAUAUAAAAAAUAAAAUUGAUGUAUUUUUUUCCUACAUUAAGAAUUAACCAAAAAUAAUAUGCAUUAUAUUGUGCAAGUCAUGCCUGCGUGUUAAGACUACUACAUGUAAUUUUAUGGUGUUUCAUUAGACAUAUUUGAAAUAAUAGCAACCCAAGCCUGCGUGUUAAGACUACUACUACUUAUAUUAUAUUAUAUGUGUAUUUCUUGAAUAUCUGUAUCGUGAAAUUAUUUUAUAUAAUUUAAGUAUGAUAAGUUAUGUAAAUUUUAUUUUAAGUAUUAUUUUAAAAAAGUUUUUAAAAUCAAUUUUAAUACAAAUUGAUUAAUAUAUAAUAUAUCUAAUUAGCAAAAUUGGGAGUUAAGAUUUUUUGAUAACUUAAUAUUUUAAUAUCUCUAAAGAGUUUUAUAUGAGUUAGAUAUCAUUAAUUAUGUAUGUGUUAUUUUAAAAUGCAAGAUUUUAUAAUAUAAACAUAUUUGAAUUUAUUAAAAAUAUAUAUUAAAAAACACAACAGCAUAAUCAGUAAAUUUCAGCUUGUUUGGAAGUGUGGUUGCAGUUGCUUUUCAAAGUGUUUUUCGUGUCGAAAUGCAUCAAAAUAAUAUUUUUUUUAUUUUUUAAAAAUUAUUUUUUAGAUUAACGCUUCAAAACAAUUCAAAAUAUAAAAAAUUAUUUUUUUAUAAAAUAAAUAAAUAUUUAAAGAACACAACCGCUUUUUCCAAACAAUGCUGUAGCAUUUUGCGACGUGAAAUAAUUCCAAGCUUGUAAACUAGUGAUUGCCUAAAUUGAAAUGUCUUGUCUUUGAAAAAAAAAUUAAGUUAUCAACUAUACAGUGCUAUAUUGAUCUUUAUAGGAUGAACACAUAAUUUAUGAAAAUCAAAUAUUUCUCUAAUUAUACAUGUCCAGCAAUGCAUAUGACAUUUUUGGCGAGGACUUGACAAUUUGUGGUCACUUAUACGUUAAAUUCACUAUCCAAACUAUUUAUUCAUUCUUUUAAUAUUCAAAUGAGUAAAAAAUAUUGUGCAAAUUUGAUUUUAAAUUAUAAACUUGAAAGUAUAUAUUAUUAAUCAUUAAAUCUUAAUAUUUAUUAUUAAAAAAAUUCAUAAUUCUGAUAUUUUCAAUGGAAUGUGAAUGUUCUAUUUUAUUAAAACCAGUUAACGAUGCAAUGUAAGAUUGGAGAAACUCAUGUGCAAGAUAGAAGAUAUAUAACAAAAUAAAACUUUAAUAACGAUUAGAGAACCAUAGUUAAACUCCAGCUUUUUGGUCAAUGAAAUAAGAGAGUUCAAAAAAAUCAACUUUUUUUAAGCAACAAAUUAAGAAUUCCGAACAAUCUCAAGAUUCAACUAGUGUUUGAAACGAUUUACUAAGAAAAUCAACCAGUCAGUUGUGGGUCGCUGGCCUAAAACUGAAUAAAAUAAAAUAAUAAUCACUAACAUUAAAAAAAGAAAAGAAAAGAAAAAUAAGAUAAUACUCUCCUCAUAGUGAGAAUACUAUUAAGCGUUUUUUUUCUUUCAAACCAUGUUUUUUUUUUUAAAUUUCAAUUUAUUAGAGAUUAGCCUUUAUAAUUUUUCUUUGAUUUAUUUUUUAUGAGAUUAUCAUAAUUUCAUGAUCCAUAUUAUAUGUUUGACAGGUUAAUUCAGUUGAUUAAAAUUUUUUAAUUUUUUUUUUAAUUUCAUAUUUCAAUAUUGAAUUGGUUGAGAUUUAAACUUCGUAAUUUAUUUCAAUUCACUUUCUACAAGGCUAUCCUCAUCUCAUGAUCUAAGUAAUGAGUUUGAUAGGCUAAUCCAGGUUAACUCGACUUAUGUUUUUUUUUUUUGUCUAUUUUUAAUUUAUUUUUCAAUUUCAGUUAUAUUCUUUAAUAUUAGGUUUAUUGGGGAUUUUAUUUUAUAAUUUUUUAAAUUUUUUACUGGGUUAUCCCGGUCUCAUGAUUUAGAUCACAUGUUCGAUGUAUUAACUCGAGUUGACCUGAAUGAUUCUUUUUAUUUUUUUAUUUUAUCAUUCAAUAUUAUAUUUAUUGAAAAUUAAACGAUAUAAUUUGUUUUGAUUUAUUUUAUAUAUAUUUAUUAUAAUCAAAUGAUCCGACAUGUUGAUUGACAUGUUAACCAAAAUCAAUUUAAUAUAUUUUAAUUUUAAUUUUUAUAAAAAUAUUUAUUUUAAAUUAUAUUAUAUUUUUACUAAUAAUUUAAAUUAUUUUUGAAUUAUUCAAAUAAAAAAAAUAUAAUUUCAUUCACCUCAAGAAUUAAAGUUUUUUUCAAUUCAACAGCAGAAUGGUGGAUGUCAACAGGCUCCUAGGUCCCAAAUUCCACGUCAGUCAGUCAAUGAUUCUCCAAUUCCAACGGCUAUUACAUUAACAAUCAAAUAAAGCAUUACUAAUUGAAUAAACAUUAAAAUAAAAUAUAAAAAUAAUUGAAUAAACAUUAAAAUAAAAUUUAGUAACUAAUUUCAAACCUAAUUGAAUAAACAUUAAAAUAAAAUUUAGUAAAAAAUAAAGCAAUAUCACUUUAAUAAAAAUAAUUAACCAUUACUCAAUAAUUCAGAAAAUUGUUAUGGCAACUUUCGGCAGUGCCGCAGUGACAUGCCAGCUACUUAAUAAUAUCAUGUCCAAAUUUUGUUAAGAAAAGAAAAGAAAAAAAGGGUACCUUUGGCCUCUUUCUAAAUAAAGAAAAACAAAGGGCAUGCCAGGAACACUAUAGAUCAUCCAGUAACUCAAGUGUCGGUGGAGACUUCUGUCACCGAAUGUUGGAAAAUGGCAACCUCAGUUUCUUCAUCGCUAGUCCCACUUCUCUUCUUUGCAAGAAUCUCGGGUCUUUUAGCUGCAGCUUUAGUCAUUUAUUGGGCUCUUGUUUUCAAGUCUAGCUUUCUACCUCAAUCUACCUCUCAAGAAGACCUCGUUUAUGCAGUAUGCACUUUCCUCCCUUCAUCAUGUCUCACAUUUCUUAACCACAGAGAAAAAGCAUUUCUUGAACUUCUAUUUUAUUGAUGGAUUUCUUUCUUUUCUUAUGUUCUUUUCACAGGUUCUCCAUCCUUUGCUAAUGGUGAUUGGUUUCAUUCUCGUCAGUGGAGAAGGUAAUUUUGGCAUUAAUUUACCCAUGAUUUGUACUAAUUGAUGGAUAGAAGCUUAAUUAGCUUGACUUAUUAUAAUGUGGAAGUGGUCUCCAAAAUGGAGGUUGAUUCUUGCUUUUGUUGCUCCUUCCUCUUCCUCUUCUUUUUUGGUACUUUCAGCAAUCUUGGUACAUAGAUGGUUGCCUGGUUCAAGGGGUUUCAAGAAAUCAGUGCAUUUGUGUCUUCAAGGACUGGCUUUGGCUUGUGGGAUUUUUGGGAUAUGGACAAAGUUUCAUGGCAACGAUGGGAUUGUGGCAAAUUUCUUUAGUUUGCAUUCCUGGAUGGGUUUAAUCUGCAUAUCCUUGUUCGGAGCUCAGGUUUGUUCUUCACUCCUGAUUUUUUUACUCUUUUUUUUUUUAUUUCCUUUUCUUGCUCAUUUGGAAAUUGAAUUAUUAGUGAUGUUGUUGUGGUGAGGGUCGUCAUUUCCUGUAAUCAUCACUAGAUAAGGCCAUUGUCGCCGUGGACCCUCACGUGUACAUCCCCUUAAUUCAAAUUGGAAAAGCAACACAGCUACAUUAUUAUUGAUGAUUCAGUUAUUUACUAGUAUAAGCAAUAUUAUUAUCUUUUACUGACUAAUGACAAAGCAUUUUGUAAUUCAAUAACGUUACCCUUUCGGAAAUGGAUGCUUUUGAGGGAGAAGCAUGCGGUGGAAUCAUUGUCUUUUUAUGCUUUUGGGCUACGAGAAGCUCAGUGAUUUUGGACCAGAAGGAAAGCCCAAUAACUGUCCCUCCAUGACAGCAAAACGAAGAAUCUAUGUUUAUUUUCUUCUUGAAGAACGUCAGUCUUCUCCUAAUACUGCUUUUGACCGCCUUUGACUGGACAAAAGAGGCGUCCGAAGUCUGAUCUGAGAACACUCUUGAUCAUAAAAUUAAAAAAGAAGAGAGAAAUCCCAGUUAAAAUCCAUAGACUUUAAGUGGAUUGAAGUUUGGGCAAAUAGUUUCAAAUCUUGGUUGGUUCUGCAGCAGUGAACAUCAGAAAUGCAGCAAAACGAGGGAUGAAAAUGGCUCCAAUGAGUCCUAAGAGUAACUAUUGACUAAUGAUUGUUUCGUGGCGUUGUUGUUUCGAUUUGUUCAAGAAUGAAAUCGGUGCGCGGAACCAUCCAGGACUGCUUUCAUGUAUUGGAAAUACUAUUCAUUUAGUUGGCUAAUGUUGUGAAUUAAAGAUUUUCUGCUGGUUUCAAUGUGCAGUGGUUGACGGGUUUCAUGAGCUUUUGGCACCGAGGCGAAAUGCGAACAGCGAGGGUGAGAGUGUUGCCAUGGCACGUCUUUCUUGGUCUCUACACAUAUGGGUUAGCCGUGGCAACAGCAGAAACAGGACUCCUAGAAAAGAUUACAUUCUUGCAAACAAAGAAAGAUGCUUCCAAACACUCCUCGGAAUCCAUGGUUGUCAAUAGUUUAGGACUGAGUUUAGCUUUGCUGAGUGGCAUUAUAAUAUUAGCCGCAGUUUCUCCCAAGUUUCAAAGGGAACUUAAGUACUCUGAAUCAAAGAAAACGAUGACAGUAUGAUGUGCUGUGCGCUUAGUGAUGUUUUAUGUACAUAGUGCAAAUUAAGUGCCUGUUAUUUGUAGCGGUGAAGAUAACGUCUUGCGUCUAUUUUCUAGUUACGGAAUAAUAGAGUGAAACAAAUUGAGUGCAAACACUGAUACAACGUUGUGGAUCACCACGUUGGUUUCCUUUUUCUUUUUUCUUUUUUUUCUUUUUUUCCAGUUGUGCACAAAAACUAAGUGAAUAAAGGAGAAGAGAGGGGAGCAAAGAAAAAUUCGUUGGAGCCACGCCAUGAUUUCACCGGUGACAUGCGCUACCAUAAAAGGAAGGACUCAGUGAGAUGAUUUUGGCAGCACGAGGAGGGCCUGCACGCGCCACCUCAAUACUUUGGCCUUUUUGCUCGUUGACGUGUGUAACUUACACGUCAAAUAAUAUUUUUUUGCUCUCGUUUCAUUUAUUCCAUUUUAAUUUUGUCCUAUAUUUCACAUAAUUGUUUUAUUUGGUCUCCAAUUCUUUGAUAACUCUUUUAUUUAAUCCCAAAUUUCAUCUUACUCUGGGCUAAUUAAGGUCAUACCAGGGAAAAGAAGGAGAUAUAUUGUAAAUCAAGGUUAACCAGGGUAGAUAUAAUAUGAUUUUUCGUAAAACAUUUAUCCCAAAUUCUUUUAUGGCUUUUCAAUUUAGUUUCUUUGAUAACUCUUUAAUUUGAUCUCAAAUUUUAUUCUAGCAGAGAUUAAUUAAAACCCAAGAAAAAUAGGGGAUAAGAAAAGAUUGUCUAAUUGAGUCUGGAUCGUGAAUUCACUAGGUUAAAUAUAUAUAUAUUUUUAAAAAAUUAUCUCGAACUCUUCAAUUUAAUAUCUUUAAUAACUUCUCAGUUUAAUUAUAAAUUUUAUUCAGCCUAGAUUAUUUUUUUAGGUUAUAAAUUUAAUGUUUAAUCUAGAUUAAUAUGAUAUUUUUUAAAAAAUUUCAUUGUUAAUUUUUUUAUAACCUUUUAAUUCGAUAUAAUAUAUAUAUAUUUUUUAAUUUUGUUGCCUAUUAUUUUUAAAUAAUUCAAUCAUCGGACAUUUAAUUAUUUUAUAUUUAAUCUAAUAGGGUUAAACAAAGGUUAAAUCAAAGAAGACCUGAAAAAUUUCUCGGAGCCAGAUUGCUAUUUGAACGGGGCUACUGGUUUACCUUUUAACAGGCUAGAUCAAACGAAAUACACCAACGUUUUUUAUUUUAUUUUUGCAUUUAUUAAAUAUGGUGGUUGAAUAAUUUAAUCCAACACUCGGGUCAAGUUCUUAAUUCGGAUGUCAAAAUUUUUCAUGGCAUGCAUCAAAAAAGAAAUGAAAAGAAAAGGUAAAAGACAGAUGGCAGGUAAAUUUUUGUUUGGUGCUCUAUUACUGGGCCGAUGCUGUUGCUGAUGCUGAUAAAAUAAGAGAGAGACGCAGACCUACCAAAGCAGUACAGUUAAAAGAAGAGGAAGGAACUCCAGCAUCCAAUUUCGCAAACUUGUCUAAUGCUUUGAUCAUUUAAUUUCCAGCAUUAAAAAAAAAUGUUCUAUUCUUCUGCUACUGCAACGGGCACUCCUUCCUCUCUCUUCCUCCGCUCAGCCGUCACUCCGUCACUCCUACUCCUACGACGCCGUAAUCUUUCAGUUCUGAGAUCCGAAAACCCUAACAAACACUUCCGCCUCUCCGCUUCACUCACCGACACGCACCCGCACUUCUCCUGGUCCUCUCCUCCACCUCCAACUGACGAUGACCACUUCAGAGGCUGGGCCUUUCCCGAAUCCCCUCCACAAAGCAGCAACAACAAGAAAGGUUUUUCUCCUCUUCCUUUUGCCUUUUUGCUUUUCCUCAAUUUCAUUUUAGUUUAAGUUUUUAUUCAAUGUGGAUUUCUAGGGUUGCCGAAAAUUGUGAUUAUUGCUGGGAUUGGGACCUGUGUCACUGCUCUGUUAGCUGCCAUUGCAUAUUUCUUGCUCUCUAGAAAAGGUCGGCCUCCUCACUGCUUCAAUUAUGCCAAUUUCGUGUUGCUUCGGUGCUAUAUAUAUAUAUAUAUUAAUAUUAAUAUUAAUAUAAUCUACUGUUAUUACAGGAUUCGAGUUCCGAUUUCAUAGUCCAAGUUCAACUGAGACCACCGUAUAUGAUACAAUUGAAACUAAUAUGUCUGACGAAAAUGCUGCUGCUGCGUCUGACGCAGCCAUGGAGGGUGUAUCUGAUGCCACCGGCAUAACUCUCCAUAAGGGUGCGUUAAAUUAUGUCUCCUCUCGAGUGUUUACGUUGCUCUUCAGUUCUGUUAAUGGUAUUGCUCGUUUCUAGGGUUUUGCAAACUUUAUUUUAGUAGAAAGAAGUCAGCGUUAUCUGCAAUAUACAAAUUGGUUUGUGUUGUUAUCAUAAUGGGUCUAUAAUUGAAGCUUAUUAUGAAGAUAUUUUUCCUUUCAUGUCUUUCCAUUGUCUUUUAUUUCCUUUUUCUAAAACGAAAAUGUUGCAAUGUUGGUCAAAUUCAUCUGAAAUGUUUUGAUUUGGGUUCUUGAAUGUAUCCAUUUGUCUUGUACUUCAGAACCUGCAGAGAAGCUUGAACGUGUGAAAGUGUCGGUUUAUGUGGAUUCUAACCAACUGGAAACUCUAUCGGCGUUAAAGAAACUGAAGGUUUGUUUUCAGAGACUUUUUAUGCAAUUAGAAAAGCUUGUUUCUUACAAAGACUCAUUGUGUUAUUCUCAAUUUAACAUAUGAAGUUGUACAAAGUCAUUUGAUUUACUUCAAUCUUGCUGUCUCUACUUCGAAUGCCUAAACAAACCUUGAGAGGCAUAUGCCAAACCCUUUAAAAAUUCCAUCUCCUGGCUGAUUGGGAGGAGUGUAGGGAUGGAACUUAUGGAUGUGCACCUCAGACGAAUACCAUAGAGAUAUAUGAUCUGCCAGAGUUGGAUUGAAAAUUACUUCCUUCAUUGUCAAGUAGAUGUCCACAAUUGCUAAAGCAUAUUUCUAUUUGAUUAUAAUUGUUGUUAUCUUGUGAUUCUGGUAUUCUAUGGAUUGUAUUCUUUCAACCCUAAGUUCUGCAACUUCAUUGCAGUUUUUUAUUUUUUUUAAAUCUUCAAGGCUUUAUGUCCAGUUCUGAGCAUGAAUUUCUUGACUGUAAUUAAGGUACACAGAUCAUUGAAGAUGAUGUAGCGGCUGAUGAAUUAUGCACUAGGAGGGAAUAUGCAAGAUGGUUACUCCGUCUAAAUUCAAUGUUGGAAAGGUAGCAACCUGUCUAUGCGUCUGAUGGAAUUAUAAUUGUGAAUGCUUUUUGCAAGUCUGCCUCAGCAGCUUUUUUUGGUUUUAGGAAUCAGAAGCAUAGAAUUGUUCCAUCCAUAUCACUUUCUGGUUCAGUAAUAGCUGCAUUUGAUGAUCUGGGCGUUGAAGAUCCAGAUUUUGAAUCCAUCCAAGGUAAGGCUUAAUAUUGAUUUUUGUUUCUAAUCAAGAUUGAGUUUGUUGUUGAGUUCUAAAACACUUGUUUCUGGGUUGCAAAAAGCCCUUGCUGAGUCUGGCAUCAUACCCAGCAAGCUAUCAGGGACGAAUUCCUGUGCUGACAGUUCUGAUGGUAGCAGCUUCUGCUUUUACCCAGAGAGGUAUGGAACAUGCACUAAACCAUACAUUUUUCCAUCUUUUCCACAUAAGCCUUCUCUUCUUCCUCUUCUAAGAACUGGUCCUUUUCUUUUACCCUUUCUUAUUAAUAUAACGUAUCUGGAGGUGCAGGUUUAUUUCUCGGCAGGAUCUGAUCAGCUGGAAAGCUCAAUUAGAGUAUGGUUUUUUACCAGGAAUAACAGAACAGGUUUCAAAUUUGAUUCUUAGAUUUAUUAAAUUGCUUAAAACGAAGUAAAAAUGAGCUUGGUAUUUUCACCAGCCUUUCAUGUCUAUUAAAACCUGACUUGUCUACAGUCCAGAUGUCAAAGACUAAAGUAUAUUAUAUGGAUGUAAAGGAGAUAAGCUCAGAUGCAACACCUGAACUUCUUACCGACAUGUUGGCCGGGGACAGGAGCAUCAUCAGAAAAGUUUUUGGUAUCUUUGCCUUCACUUUCCCCUUCCCUUAUUUCUUUUCCUGUGACUAUAAUUAGAGUAUUUUAGCCUUUUAACUUUUUGACAACAAACAACUCAAGUUAUUAAAUGCAUUCUGUUGACUACCUUAUGCAAGACCCACAGGUGGUGUAUAUUUAACUCCUCCCCUGUGGAUUACCACUACACGGAAAAAGAAACCUUAGGCUUGUACAAGUCUGUAGGAUUCAGAGUUUAGUGAUUUCAAAGCAAAUGCUCGUGUCAUAGAAUUACAUAUGAAGAUUAUGAUUCCUUGUUCAAAUCUGCACAGGACAGAGCAGGCGGUUUCAACCAAAUAAACCUUUAACAAAGGCACAAGCAGCAGUUGCUCUGACAAGUGGCAGGAUGUCUGAAGCAGUUUACAAUGAAAUAUUGAGGCUGGAAGCAGAGAAGUCUUUAAGGCAAGCUGCAGUGAAAGAAAUUAGGAAUGAAUUUCUUGAGAGAGGAGAUAUAAAAAGGUUUUGGGAUGAGAAGAUGAAUGAAGAAAACAUCCGAGGUUUUGAGGUUGAGAAGCUUUAUAUUGCUGCUUUACAUGAAUUGGAAGAGGAGAAAAUUGUACAGGUGAAAACUUACGAAGAGUAUUUGAAGGAGAAGGCAGCUAUGGAUUGUCAGAGGCAACUGCUGCUCCAUCUGAAGGAAGAGGUUGAUGAGAUGUCAGAAAGGCUUGCAUCUGAGAGGUCUGUGUAUGUAGCUGAGCAGUGUAAUCUGCAGGAAUUGCUUAGUAAUUUACAGUUUAAGCAGGAAGUGAUGCUUGAUACAAAAUCUAUACUGGAAGCUGAAAUUGAAGCUCUUCGAAUCCUCAGGCAAGUAUUACAAUUCAGUCUUCAUGUUGAUUGUCUUUAUACUCAUUUGCUGUAUGGCUGUUGUAAUAAUUUUCUGAAGCUGUUCUGGAUUUAUAGUUUCUCUUUUUAACACAGAACUAAUUCUUCCACUGAUAUAAUCAAUGCUAUCAUUAUUCUUUGGUUGUUUUCAAUUUGGAAUUUGCUCUGUCAGUAUGAGAAGUAGUGGCAUCUGUGAUGAAUUGGAAGUCUGCUUCCCAUCAUGGCAUGCAGAGCUGGAAGUGGAUGUCUAAGAAAUCUAUUGAUAAACAUGAUGUAUUUUCUACUAUUUCAAACAAUAAUCAGUUCCUAACCUUAACUGAUACCUGUUUUCAUCUUGGAUCUGAUGCUAUAUUUAAUGAAGAUCGUCUAAGAAAUCAUGCUAUUCCAAAUUAUUCUAUUUUUUGUGAGCAUAAUUUUGCACUGAAUAAACCUUUUUUUUUCUUUUCCCGUGUUUGGUAAUCUCCCUUUCUGUUAAUUUUAUGAUAUGUUCACGGUUCUCCUUUUCUAAUGACUGGAAGCAAUUAGUGCAGAUCUUGGGUAGAAGAUGAGGCAAGGAAAAGCCAAGCCCGAGCUAGAGUUCUGGAGGAGGUUGGACGAAGGUGGAAAUGGGACAAUCAAGCCUGAACAUACCAGUGCCUUAGCAGGACUUCCAAUAAUUACCCCUAUGUUUUUUCAUGUAGGGUUGUAUAAGAUACCGCGGAUGUGAAGAUUGAUUCGUGAAUUGUUAUGGGGGAUUUUGGUUUCUCUUCUUCUUUGUAAUAUAGUCACCAUGUAUGUUGCUUCUUCUGGAUUAAUUAAUCAAGCAAUUUGAGAAUAGAUGAGAUACUAGGGGAUAUAUCAGGAGCAUUUCUUCCUCCAAUUUGUUUCCAUUUGGUGGCAAGCCUUUAAUAGUUUGCUGAACCCGAGAGUCGAUGCCAGUUAGAGCUGUAGUGAUAAAUGCCUCAGGUUGGGACGGCCGCUGUUUCCAUGCUUGUCUGUAUGAUGAUUGUUCUCGAUGAAUGAAUUCAAGGUGUAUUCUCUAUCUGCUCUUCGAGAAUACCAAACUGAAACGAAAGGUUGGAAGAGUGUUUUCAUCCAUGGUGUUCAUCUGAAGAAUAUGCAGAAAAACAAGUUUUCAUGAUACACCUUUCGUAGUUCCAUGUAUGGGGAAGGCUAGGAAAUCUCCAGGACAACUAGUAAUGUGCCAUGGAAAGUUUACAACGAAACCUUUAAGUUGAAGAUGCUGCGAGCUCCUAUCAAUUCUUUGGACGGCGAACGAAUCAUGGAAAUGCUAUGAUUACAGGAAGAAAGUAAACAUCAGGAUAGGAGCUCGCUUCUCUGUGGUCACUGCCCUGGCAGUGCUGGACUUCACAUUCUUGUCAAUUUACCCCAAGCAUGCCCACCAAGAAAGUGGUGGCAUCAAGUGAUUAAGCUAUCAAGUUAGGGCAAACUAGUAAUUUGGGGAAGAUGAGUGCUUUUGCUUGACUUGUUACUGAACUCAAUUACCGAAAGCUUUCAAAAAAAGUCAUUGCCGCCCAUGCACUUGAGUUGGCGCUGCAAAUUGCAAUGCUAUCCACUCCACUUUCCCUUUUUUAUGUGCUUGUUUCCACCAUAAGGCAAAAGCCAAGAUUUGUGGUUCAAUCUGGGCUUCAUUCAUGCUCAGCUCUCAGUAUUCAACCAUGCUUUGGCUCCAGUUUCUUUGCCCAUUUUCUUCAUAACACCAUACCUGGUAUGCCUUCUUUUACCCCGCCCUCAAUUUUGUUUUUUUGCUCUGUAAAUGCAAAUGUAGAUUUUCCCUUUUUUUUUUUUUUUUUUUGUUAGGAAGAGACUACUUUAAUUUGUCUUCUCCAGAACGAGGUGCCUAAACAGACCCCAUGUGGUUAUAAUUAUAUUAUUUUCAGGAGACCACAAAAAAAAAAAAAAACAAAAAUAAUGAGAGCCCAUUCUUCUGGAUUGGCUUGGUCUUUUUGGAUGAUAAUUCGGCUGCUACAUUGUUAGACAGUGCUGACCACUCAUUUCUCAUGAAGCAGAAAAGGGAUAAUUGCUCGUGUUUUUGUUUUGCUUCAUUUUUUUUUUGGGGCUUCUUCGAUUUAUCUCAUGGACCAGUUUACACCCACAAAUUCCUCGGCCAGCAAUGGAUAUUGAUGAGUGCUAGCGUUUCUGUCAAAUUUGUCUGCUCCUGAAUUUGCCAGCUCACCCUCUUGAUAGAAUUUUUUUUUCUUGGAUUCAUUUGCAUUAUUUUGUCAAUGGUGCUUAAUUCAUGACUAGAAAGCAAAGACAAAUAGAUUGCUGUACGAAGAUGUUACUUUGUGAGCUUCUCAUAUCCUGGAGUUUCCCCCAAAUAUGCCAUAAAAAAAAUCCAAAAUGAGAGUAAAAGGUCGAAGGAACCCAUGAAUUUCACCAAAUAAACCAAAACUUUUUAGCUAGAGAUAAGAAAUUCUAGAGAAAAGCCAAAAAAGGGCAAAGUGUGAAAUGAUCAAUCAUUCACAAAAAAGUUUGCCUCACUUUUUAUAUGCUUGGCUAACUUCUUACAUAGGCUCCAGUCCAUUAAGCAAACAGAUGGGAAUUAAAUUUCAACCUUGCUUCUACAAUCCCACUUGUUCAAUCUUUCCCCUUCCUCCUGUUUCAAUCCCAAUAAGAGGGGAUCCACCGAUCUCCAUGCCCUCUGAACUAGACCCGCUUCUUAAUAUUAUGUCCUUACUCCACUCCUAAGUACCUGUGCUGAUCCCUUGCCUUAAAUCAAAGAUUUUUACUUUCUGCCAACGAAGCAUCCAAUGUCUAGGAUGCAUGGCUUUAUCUGGAGUAAAUCCAUCUUUCUUAAAUUACACCAAUUAAACUGUGGUCACUCCUCCAAUGAAAACGACAACCCAGAAAAGGUCAAGUUCAAUCGGAUGGUUAGGAUUUCUGAUAGAUAGUUUGAUCUUUGAGUUUUGAUCAACUUGAAGCUAGCUAGGGUUUUUAACUGGACAGACAAACACCUAAGUAUUGCCUGCUAAUAGCAGCCAACAGAAUCAUUUAUUAGGAGGCUUGAAAAAAAAAAAAAAAAAGACCCCGCAGCUCUCUUCAUAUUUAACAUCUUUUUUCUUUUUUACACUUACACAACAAUUAGAUGUUAGGUAAGAAACUAGAUGCGUUAGGGGUGGGCUCAAGUAGUUGCUAAAAAAUUUACAGUGGUGGUUGUCUCUUUCGGGCUGUUUUCUGGUUUUCUUAACUCUAUAUAUAUUCCUAUGAAACGAAAUGGUAAAAUGAUAUACCUACAAAAUUUUUGCGAUUUGUUAACAUCCUUCUGGAGCAAAACUGGCCACUAGUUAUACUGGUGGUUGCUGUAGCUCUUAGCAAGACAGUUGGAUGGAAUUCAGCUUAUCAGGAACUCUUCGUGGACAAACAAGUCGUUGUUUGAGAUGUCCGUAAACCUGAUAAGAUGAUAAUGCAGAUUUUCCUAGAAACUAUAUAGAUAAAGCCACUGAAUUUGAAAAUAAUUAUAAGUUUGGUAAUCUGGGUUUUAUACAGGCUUUGCACUGGUGUUUCUUAUUAAGCGCUAUUGGCUGUUGCAGAGUCUGGGUAGCUCUUGGUGCAUUUCCAGAGACAUGAUGGCUUGAAUUCUCAGUUAUGGAGAUAGGGAGACAUGGGUGGAGAGGUGCUUUGGGACUGGUUUGUUUCUAUAGAUGAGUGGAAGGUUAGGAUUCUGCUACCGACAAUACCUACAUGAUAGUCAGGUUAGGCUUCCUGGUUGCUGCUUCAGUUGCAGCCUUUGCAGCUAAACAGCUUCAUGUAAAAACUGCAAAGUCAACAGACUCUUCAGCCAAGCAUUCAGGUAACAGAUUCUACAAGUUUUAGUCAUAAUUUUGUCUUUUAUCAGAAAGCUGAAAGAGUGCAUCUAUGCUGAUAUCUACAUAAACACAUAAUAUAAGACAUGGAGUUAAUGUAUUGUACAUAUAAAAACUUCCUUAAAAGACUUCUUUUCUAUGCUGAUAUGCUUACAUGCUUCUUGCAUUUCGUGGUUACUCUCUGGUCGAAUUGAAACUCAGAAAAUGGUGAAGCAAGCAUUGAGCAACAUCAAAUCAAAGGAGAUGACAGAGAACAGUUUACAUAUUUUGAUGAUAGCAUUAAAGAGAAGGAUGUAAGUGCAUACACAAACUUAAAUCAAUUUUUUAUCUCAAUUUAGACCACAGAAGUAUGUGAGGUGAUGUUUUCCAUUAUUUUCUUUGAAUUAAUGUGCAAUAUAUAUUGCAGGUGGAGGAAGAAGAAGAGGAAGAAGAGGUCAAAUUGAUUAAUAGCAUAUUUAACCAUGCUCAAGGUACUCCACCUGGUAUGGAAGAUGAAGAUAUUCUACCUGAAUUCGAAGAUCUUCUGUCCGGGGAAAUCGAUUAUCCAUUACCUGGCGAAAAGUUUGACCAAGCAGAGAAGGACAAAAUUUAUGAAACUGAGAUGGCAAACAAUGCAAGUGAGCUGGAAUGUUUGCGCAACCUAGUAAGAGAAUUGGAGGAGAGAGAGGUAAAGCUUGAAGGUGAAUUGCUCGAGUACUAUGGGUUGAAGGAACAGGAAUCAGACGUCGUUGAAUUGCAAAGGCAGCUCAAAAUUAAGACCGUUGAGAUUGACAUGCUAAAUAUUACCAUCAAUUCCCUGCAAGCUGAGAGGAAGAAGCUUCAAGAAGAGAUUUCGCAUGGAGCUUCUUCCAAGAAGGAAUUGGAAAUGGCAAGGAACAAGAUAAAGGAGCUUCAGAGGCAAGUUCAGCUUGAUGCUAACCAGACGAAGGGCCAGUUGUUAUUGCUCAAACAACAAGUUUCUGGUCUUCAGGCAAAAGAGCAAGAAGCUGUGAAAAAGGAUGCAGAGGUUGAAACGAGGCUGAAGGCUGUGAAGGAGUUGGAGGUAGUAGUUGUGGAACUUAAGAGGAAGAACAAAGAGCUUCAACAUGAAAAGAGAGAGUUGAUUAUUAAGCUGGGUGCUGCUGAAGCUAAAUUAACAUCCCUCUCCAAUUUGUCAGAGGUAAGAGCCGUAGUUUUCGAUCAAGAAAUUCUUAAGCACAUUCUUGAGGUUUUUCAUCUUUUUUCCUCGGUGAAUUCUGAGGGUGGAUGUUGGCGUAUUGUUUAUGCUCGCCUUUUAUUUUAAGAGAGAUGCUGUCGUCUUAUCCAAUCUGUAAAGCGCAACAUGUUUCCUUUUGACAAUGGGUUCAGUAGUGCAUAAAUAUUCUGGAGAAUUGAGUAACAAUUAAACAUGCUAGGUGUUUGGGCUUAUUUUCUCCCAAUCACCUUUGUAGUUAACAUCUUUUCUCUAGUAACUGCUACGCAGUAAAGGAUAUUUAGUUUCGGCAAGUUUGAGAUACGAAAUAGAAAAAAAUAAAGUUUUCAUAGAUAUUUAGGAAAAGCUUAUUUCUGGAAUAUAGUUAAACAUAUUCAGUGGACAGAAUAAUUAAAUUUUUGUUUUAUAUCUUAAACUUAUGAUCUGCGUUUGUUUACAUGAUUACUUAAAUUUUCCUCUCUGUGCUGUCUAAUGGUGCUGCAGACAGAAAUGGUUGCCAAGGUAAGAGAGGAGGUCAAUAAUUUAAAGCACGCAAAUGAAGACCUGUUAAAACAAGUGGAAGGACUUCAAAUGAACAGGUUUAGUGAAGUUGAAGAGCUAGUGUACCUUCGUUGGGUCAAUGCAUGCUUGAGGUAUGAGCUCCGGAACUACCAAACACCUUCAGGAAAAGUUUCAGCUCGUGAUCUCAAUAAAAGUCUGAGCCCCAAGUCCCAAGAGAGGGCUAAACAACUACUGUUAGAAUAUGCCGGAUCAGAACGAGGACAAGGAGACACAGAUAUGGAAAGCAACUAUUCUCACCCAUCUUCUCCUGGAAGUGAGGACUUUGACAAUACUUCCAUUGACAGUUCUUCUAGCAGAUACAGUUUCAGUAAGAAACCUAAUUUAAUUCAAAAACUGAAGAAAUGGGGCAGAAGCAAAGAUGAUUCAAGUGCCUUUUCUUCACCAUCCAGAUCCUUCUCAGGAGUAUCUCCAAGCAGGUCUAGCAUGAGCCACCGACCAAGGGGUCCGUUGGAAUCCUUGAUGAUAAGGAAUGCAAGUGAUACUGUAGCCAUCACCUCAUUUGGAAAGAUGGACCAGGAUGCUCCUGACUCUCCUGGUGACUCACUAAAUUCUGUUGCUUCAUCUUUCCAAGUAAUGUCUAAAUCGGUGGAAGGAGUUUUAGAUGAGAAGUAUCCUGCCUAUAAAGACAGACACAAGUUGGCCUUAGAAAGGGAGAAGCAUAUUAAGGAAAAAGCAGAAAAAGCAAGAGCAGUGAAGUUUGGUGACAGUUCAAAUUUUCAGUUUGGAAAAAAGGGGGAGAAAGUUAUACCCAUAACUUUGCCAGCUAAACUUUCCCAAAUAAAAGAGAAACCAGUUGCCUCUGGUGAGUCAAGUGAACAAUCUAGUGAUGGUAAGGAUGUUGAUUCGCAGACAGUAAGCAAGAUGAAAUUUGCCCACAUCGAGAAGAGGCCUCCUAGGGUGCCGCGGCCUCCUCCUAAAUCAUCUGCUGGUGCUCCAGUUGCUACAAAUGCCAAUCCUUCAGGUGGAGUGCCACCUCCUCCACCAGGUGCACCACCACCACCACCUCCUCCACCUGGUGGACCACCUCGUCCACCUCCUCCACCUGGAAGCUUGCCAAGAGGAGCAGGAAGUGGUGAUAAAGUUCACCGGGCUCCGGAACUAGUAGAAUUUUAUCAGAGUUUGAUGAAACGCGAGGCAAAGAAGGAUACAUCAUCUUUGAUUUCUUCAACAUCUAAUGUAUCAGAUGCUCGCAGCAACAUGAUAGGGGAAAUUGAGAACAGAUCAUCUUUCCUGCUGGCUGUGCGUUAAAUAUUUGCCUUUAAUUUUGUUUUCCUUCUUAUUUUUCUCAUAAAAUAGUCUCACUGCCCUGAUCUGCUAAUGCAAAAUUCCAUGUGCUGGAUCCAGGUGAAAGCAGAUGUAGAAACUCAAGGUGAUUUCGUCCAGUCAUUGGCAACUGAAGUUCGAGCGGCUUCCUUCUCCACCAUAGAUGACUUGGUGGCCUUUGUAAACUGGCUCGAUGAGGAAUUAUCUUUCUUGGUAUGUCGUUUACUUCCUAGUGGGAAAAUUUGGUAGUUAUCUAUCAGAGCUAACGACUUUUUAAAAUAAGAAAAGGGAUGAGGGAUCUCAUGCGGUUCAAGGGCAAAGAUAGUUUCAGGAAAUAUGGAACACAUAUACAUUCCACAUUCAAAUCAUCACGCUAACCCUUAGUAAUAUAGCUUUUAAUACUAUUAUCUCUCAUUCAGAAUUUUCUUUUAGCAAUAACUCACCUCCAGAAAACCUACGAACUCUUUGCUUCCUUCAGUGCUUUAACUGGCACAGUGGAAGAAUAAAGAGAAACUUCACCUGCCAAAUAUUUGCAAAUGUAACGUUUCCUUGGCUGCUAGGUUAUUGUUCAAGACUCUGAUCACAUCAAUUCAUUUAUUUUUAUUUUUAUUUCUUUAGGUUGAUGAACGAGCAGUUCUCAAGCACUUUGAUUGGCCUGAAAGUAAAGCUGAUGCAUUGAGAGAAGCAGCUUUUGAGUACCAGGAUCUCAUGAAAUUGGAGAGGCAAGUAACCUCUUUUGUUGAUGAUCCCAACCUCCCUUGUGAAGCUGCUUUAAAAAAGAUGUACAAAUUGCUCGAAAAGUAAGUACAUUCUUCUUCUCAUGCUUGUUAAAUAGAUUAUAGAACUCCGAGAAGAUUGGAAACUUACUACUUACUACCAUAUUUUAUGUAUGGGAUUCAAAUUAUAAAUACUAUUCUCCUAGGAGUUGUCGUGGUGGCCUGAUAACUUCUACCAUAAUAAACUGUUAGGAGAUAGUUUAUUCUUUCAACUGGCUUAAUUUCCCGUCUUAUUUUUCUUUUAUUCUUUGCCAGAGUGGAAAACAGCGUUUAUGCACUAUUGCGUACAAGAGACAUGGCUGUUUCACGAUACAGAGAGUUUGGAAUCCCAACUAAUUGGUUAUUAGAUUCAGGAGUUGUUGGCAAGGUAUGCUUAAAACGAGAAGAUAUAAAUUUUGAUGUAUGUAUACAUGGAAUUAGUUAUGAAAAUGUUUGUGCUCUCUAUCUUUUGGCUCAUAGAAUCACGUUUUCCUCAACAAUUGCAUAUUUAACAGGUUAUAUUUUAUUUAUCUGUUGAUAGAUAUGAUGAGCAAGGUUAUGACCAAAACUCAUACAUGCCGAUGAUUCAGCAAGACACAUUUUGUCUUGUUAAAAAUAUGGCCUUGAAGACAGCUUUAUGCCAUUGCUGUGACAGCCUUUUUUUUAGCGAUGGAUACAAAAUUUACUCAUGAUACGAGAAUAAUUUAUGUUUGUAUCAAGUAUCCAUAAAAAUGCAGAUCAUUAAGGGAAAAACUUCCAUUGUUUCAAUACCGAAGUUGGUCACGUAACAUCUUUCUCAUUGCAGAUCAAGCUCUCAUCAGUGCAGUUGGCAAGAAAGUACAUGAAGCGUGUUGCAUCAGAACUAGAUACAAUGAGUGGACCUGAGAAAGAACCAAACAGAGAGUUUUUGGUACUGCAAGGUGUUCGUUUCGCUUUCCGUGUUCAUCAGGUAUAUUUUAUCUCCAUGUUAAAUUUGAAUACUGGAAUGCAAAUUAUCCGGAUGGUGAUUAGAUGGAAACUUUAUGGUACUGCCAGGGUGGUAGCAAAUUAUCUCUGGUGUCUAUAUUUCCAUAGCAUUUAAUCACAGGCUAACCUUAUAGCAUUGAAAUGCAAGUUUCUUAUCAAUCUGCAAAUUUGUCUCUUGACGUGGAUCUAUUUCCAGUUUGCUGGAGGCUUUGAUGCAGAGAGCAUGAAGGCUUUUGAAGAAUUGAGGAGCCGUGUACGUUCACAAAUGGGAGAAGAGAAUAAGAUGGAAGGGUCAUAAUUUUCUGUUGUAUAUUGCGUCAUCUCAUUUCAUGUCUUCAUAGAACAUCAUAUAGAUUGGAUAUUGUAGAAAAAACCAGUCCAGCUUGAGCCAACAAAGGUUAAAGUUACUUUAUACAGGGAAAUAUUUAUAAAUUUUAUUGUCCUUUGACCGUCUCAAGUUUAGUUUGGGGAAAAAAAACGCAGGAAAACGGAUUUCAGGGUAGCAUAGCGUUGUUAAGAUGCUAUGAAGUCGACAUGGGCUGAAUAGCUGGAAGUAGAAAAAAAGGAUUUGUAAUUGCUCAAGACUUUUGGCAAGUGAAUAAUCACAGUUUCAACUUCACCUCGUUACAGAAACUUGAAACCAAAAAAUAUAGGCACCAGUGUAUCCUGGGCAUUAGACUUGUUUGGUUAAAUGUUCAGUUAAUGAGGGAGUGAUAUUUGUUAAUGGUUUCUCAGUCGAGCCUCACAUAAGAUUUCUGUUUUCUGUACUGCUAGUUUAUCAAUUAACAUUGUCCUGCUUUAGAAGCUAAGUUAAUGAACUCUAUGGCGUCUCAAAGACAUUGAAAAUCCACGGUAAUGAAAUAUUAGGUGUAAAUUCGCAUCUCGGUGGGAAGUAGAGAGGCGAUAUUGUGUACUUUGCUCUCCGAGGAAUGAAACUGUUACAGAGAAUCCCUCAGAAAGCCCGUGAGGUAUUUUUUUUCCUCUUCAAAUAUGAUCUUCAUGCAAAAUAUCGUAUAGAAAAGAUUUCAGCUUGGAUGCAUAGAUAGUUGGCAAAAUGGGUAACGGGUAAAUUUCUCUUUCCUUGAUGUUUCAAGAUGUUUAGGAAUAAAAUAAAUGUGUUGAUUAAUUAGUUGAUCUCUUAGUUUAAGUAAUAUGAUCUAUUCUUCAUAGUCAAAAUAUCUGGUAACUUGAUAUGAAAAGCCCAGAGGGUUGGUAACUAGUAGCAGGUAAUGUCUGGUAAGCCAGGUGACCAGUAGCUGUUAUCUGCAAAAGGUAUCAUUUCAUAAACAUAGGAACUCUCUAAUAAUAAAGUCAGUAACUUUAUUAAGAGAAAAAGUGCAAUAAUAUUCUAAAAAAAAAUGCUUUGAAAAUAUGUAUAUACAGUAGAGAAUGAAGAAAUUAUGAACCUUUAACUUGAAGGAUUCAUGGUGUAUUUAUAACCCAUGCAUUUUAUCCUUUCAUGGAGAUAAAGAGUUGGAGUGUAAUUUUACUUUUAUGAUAUUUUAAAUUGUAUUCUACUCAAAAUAAUACAUAUUGGAUCAAUAUAAAAUACUAAGAGACCCACAUAGGGUUUCGAAAAAAUCCCUAGCAAAUGUCGGGCUUGAGCCUAUUAAAGGUAAGAAAUGGGUCCAGACGAACUGUCUGGACCCAAGCAUGUUGGGCUCAGGACGAGCUCCCAAGCCCACAGGGGGUGCUAGGAUGCACGUCCAGCAUGGAAUCAGGCUUCAUGCCCAAGCCCAUGUCCUCUAAGGAGUUGGGCUUGGGCUCGGGCAGUAGCUGGAGCCCAAGCUCCUUAGGUGUUGGGUUUGAGCUACCAUGCUCGAGUCCACUUCUUUGCCCUUCUACUAUACUUUGGGCUCAGAAUACUAAGCCUGAGCCCAUAGAGUAUUCUUGUUGGGUCUAUUUUGAGGAAAUGUUUUUGGUCCAUCUUGGGCGGGUUUGAGUUUAUUUUAUUUAGAUCCAUCAGCAGCCCCCUAAGUUUUUGUGGUAUUAAUCCAUAAAAACUUAUAAAAAUACAUGAUUACCAUGACGAGUUCUUCGAAUUUUCUUCAUAUAAGAAGAGGGGUUGAAACCCCUAGUAAUAAACUAGAGAACCCGUGUGUGGGUAUGCACCAUAUUUUAAAAAAGUUAUAAGUAUGUAGAGGGGAAUUAUGGAGGAACUCAUACUUAAUUUUUUUUUUUUAAAAAAAGGUUAGUUGAGAUAUAAAAGACUUUAUACUUAGAAAAAAAUUCAAAAAAUUUAAGUGGCUGGUGCAUACCCACACACGAAGGGUAUGAGGAACUCAAGAAGGUGAGUUCCAUGAAGGUGGUCUUAUUUUAAAAAGGUGGUCUUAUUCAACUAGGAAAACUCAAGAAGAGUGGUGGAAAUCCAUAGAGGGUGACUCCUGGUUAUACCCAUACUUAGAAGAAUUUAUGAAUAGGGGAGAGUAUAAAUCCAUUGAAGGUGGUCUUAUUCCACUAGGAAAACCAAGUUCAUCCCUUGAAGAGUGGUUACGCUAGAGUGUGAGAGGUAUGUGGCCUCCCUAGAUGGCAUGAGGCAUGAAAGCUCUUAAUUAAAGAAAGAAAGAUCUCACCAAAUAGUAAAAGAUCUGUAACAUCUCUUAUGAUGGCGUGGGUGGUUUGAGAGCUCCUAGAAGGUUUGUAACCUCCCUUGUGAUGGUAUGGGAGCUUAAGAGCCUCUCAUUGAAGAAUGAUCAAUGAUGCAUGAGAGAUAUAUGACCUUUCUAGGAUGGCAUGAGACAUGAGAGCUCCUUACUGGAGAGUAAUGCUAAUUCGAGAUUGUAUUGGAAAGGUGGAAGAUCCAAGAUCAACCCCUAGUAAAAUGGUGAAAGGCCCUUAGGCAUCACUUAGAGAAUAGGGAUCUAAGAUCAACCCAUAGCAAAUUGGUGAGAGGCCUCUAAGAAUCAUUUAGAGAAUGAGAGAUCUCAGAUUAACCCUUAGCGAAUUGGUGAGAGGUCUCUAGGUAUCACCUGAAAAAUAGAAGAUCCUAAAUCAACCCCUAAUGAAUUGGUGAGAGGCCUCCAAACAUCACCUGGAGAAUAGGAAUCCUAAAUCAACUCCUGACGAAUUGGUGAGAUGCCCCCAGGGAGAUCAAGUCAAUCCCUUCUUUAGAAAGCAUCUUGAAGCUCCUACUAAAAAUCAGUAGAUGGGGAAUGUAUGUCAAAGAUACAUUAUUUUUAUUUUAAAAAUAAACUUACAUUCCUAUUAAGGAUUAUGCAUCCUAAGGUGAUCUGAGUAAUAUGUACAAAGGAGGUUUUUAGAAGUAUUAUGCCUUGGAAGUGGUACCAAGAUGUUUGCUUUCACUACCUUGAUAACUUCAAAUGAGUGAUUCUUAUGAUACAUCAAAUGACCAUGGGUUGACCCCUCAUGGUUUUUUCUCGAACUUUCAUUUUUAUCAAGAGAAUGAUUUCACCUUGAAGGUUCUUGGUUAUCCAUGUAAUAAGAAAGAGGCCCAUGUCAUAGAAAAUCAACUUCUUCCACCGGGUAUGUAAUUUUCGAUAACUUGUUUCACCUUGAGCAAACUUUUGUCUGGUAAGGCAUAAAGUUUUAUCCAAAAGGUAUGUUCUCUUACCCCUCUUAUAAAGUUUUAUCCAAAAGCUAAUGGAUCAAUCAAUUCUUUCACCUUAAGUAUCUUCUCAUUAAACCUAUUUAAACAUGCACAUGUAAACUCGCCUUUUUGUCAAGUAACAUCAAAUAGUUUCGUGGAGAUUUUCUUGGCGGGUAUGUUGGUGCUAAGGCGUGCCACUAGCUUAGCACAUAGGUCAUUGAACCCAUCGAUGGAACUUGGCUCUAAAUUAUUUUACCAUGCAUGCGCAGACCCCCAAAAGGUUAUCGGGAUGAUUUUGCAUAUUGAGUCACUGACCAACUCUACAACUGUUGGUUGAAUGGAAUUUAAAUGUUGUCUUCAAAGGCUACAACUGUUUAUGUACACUUUCAUGCACUCAAAGCUGGACACUGUGUGCAAUAGUUGUAGGUAAAGAGCAAUAAUCAGAUUUAUUCCAAAGGGUAAAUGACCCCGAAACCAAUAGCCACCAUCAGAUAAAAUCUGUUAUCGAUGCUCCGCACAUCAAUCUUGGACAGUCAAGAACAAAAGCAAGAAUACAUGAAAACUAGUCUCUUGCAGUCACACUAUCGCAUUGUGAUUACAAGACUUCUGUCAAAGAACUUUGCACCUCCCAACUUACCUUGAAUGUUUGUUGGGAGACAGAUUACACGUCUCUGGUCCCCUGCUUCAACCAACAAUUCAGAUCCUCCUCUAUACUGCAUUUAUUAGGAAAGCAUAAAAAAUUAUGUUAAAGUUACUAAACAAACUGAUUAAACAAAAAAGGAGCAAAAAGAUCUUUUUGCAACUAUCCCACCAAAAAAAACAGGAUACACAGUUGAUGAUGCCUAAAUCAGCGAAUUGAGUAAAAUUUGUGAAUUUUUCGCAUUAAAACCAUGAAUCCAUACUUUUCAUUAUUGGAAUUAAAGCUACUUAACACUUGUGCAAUAAAUCUACAGUUCAAAUAAGGAUCUUCUUUUCCAUUUUAAAGGCUCAUGGCUUUUAUUCAAGGCGCCAAUCAAAUCUGCUAACUACAAUUGCGGAACUAACAUGAAUUCAAUUUACAAAACUAAGCUCAGAUUAUUAUUAUAUUUCAAGAGACGCAAGUAGCUUUCUGUAUCCUCUUAAUUACAAUGACUUAAAUGCCAGAAUACAAUACUAAUUCUAAGAGAUUAAUCCUUCCUAGGAGUUCAUUUUAUGUAUCCUCUUAAUUACAAUGACUUAAAUGCUAUAAUAUCUAACGAAUUCUGGAAGUGCAUGAAGCUACUCGUGUCUCCCUUGGAAUAAUAUCCCAGGCAUAUGAAUUUCUCUUUUUUCAACCAAGACUCAAAAGAACUGCAAUUAUAGAAAACACUUUCUGAAUUGAUAAAAGAUUUCACAAGGACCUUCCGACCUAUGGAAAAAAGGGAGGUUUUUCCAGCCAUUUAACUACUAUUGCAAACUGAAGUAACUAAAACAAAUUUGGACAGUUUGUGAAACAUGAUGAAGAUCUUUGGAAAAAAAAAACAUAUGAAGGAAAGGGAUAUACUUGGUAUAGCUUGAUCUCUGACUUGUCAAAACCUGGCAUGAAAAGAGUAACUGAUUUUUCAGCAGCGUCAAACUUUACUGGUGGUGCCAUGCUAUUGCUGUUACUUGCUGGCAAAGAAAAUAAAGUUCUUGCAUCAUGACCAACAGUGUUUAGCAUGACUGAAUUCCAUUCAGGAGGGUAACCUAUUGAGAGAUGUGGAAUGAAAGCAAAAGGCAAGGGCAAAAAGUUUUUCUUGACUCCUUCCAAUGAUUCUUCAUUGAAAUGUGGUGAAGAAAUUCCAAUUGCACCAGAAACUUGCGCACCAGCUUGGAGGGUACAGCCCCAAUAACGCAAAGCAGAAUUCACUGAUGCUGGAAUGUUAGGGUCCAUCACAAGAUAGCAUCCAAAUCUAGAUGGUUCAUAAAAAGCAGAAGAUCCUCGCUGCAGUAUAAUAAACACAAAAUCCUAUCAAGUUUGUGUAGAAAUGGAGAAGCAAGAAGCGUGAAUCACAUUUACCAUUAGCAUUGUUUCCAAACUGUCCCAUAUUUCAGCACUCGUUUUCCUGUUCAAAUUAUAUUUGCUACCACUUAAACUCAAUGCUUCAUCAACAAGGCUCACGAGUGAAGGACCAGCUAAUCUCCCAAGAUCAGUCUUCUCGGCCAAAUUCCUCAGAUAUUUCAAAUACAAUCUGAGACAGUUAUGUUGUUCAAUACAGACAGAAAUAUGAGAGAGAGUUGAGUUGGGGAGGUUAGAAAUUCAACUAACCUUGCUUUACUAGCUGCUCCUAUCAUUCGAAGAGUUUCAUCAGUGCUGACUCCAUCAUAUACUAUUAUGUCAAAUUUAUCUUUGUUGGUCUGGUUAACAUUUAAUGAUCCUACAAGCCCUGCAAGUGCAUAUACUGCAAAAAUAGAAUCCAUUGCCGGAAGCACACCAAGCUCUUCUCCAACCACCUUCACAUUAUGAUAAAAGAUACAGAACAUUCAGGGAAGUGCACUAUUUGAUGACUAUGAUACAGCACAAGCAUAUUGAGAGAGCCACUACAUACCUACCCCUUCGAGAACUCCUUGAGUCAUCUUAAGACGAGAAUCGGCUUGCUUCAGCCGAUCAAGAGGCUCAAGAAGCAUCUGCAGAUAUCAAGAGCAAUUAUCAAUGCGCCCGCACCAUUACAUUAAAAUUUUGAAGUUCCAUAAAGAAACAAGAAAAAAGAAGUGAAAAAACACACUUUACUGGUUUCCAACCUAACAGCCCAAAGGUUGUCACUGCACUCGGUAGGAGAAGUUCCAAUCUUAUAGUUCAGUAGAUAUUCAGCAGAGGGAUCUUGGGUCUGUAUCACCAAGCAUGUCCGAAGCCCAGACAUUGCAUAAUGCUGGAUGAAAAUCGGCAAAACAAAGCAAAAAAUAAAAAAAUUAAGAUCCCACCGCAACUUGCACAAAUUGCGUAAAAAAUAAAAACAAAAACUAUGCAAAGUAAAUAAAACCAAUGUUUAAACUAGUAAGAAGAAAUACGGAGUAUUAACUAUCUUCAAAUUAAUCUACAGUAGAAAACAGUGACCAAAAGGAAAUUCCAUCUGGAAAAAACUUUGGUUUAUUUUUCUUAAAGUCUCCUAGAUAUCAUUCAUCUACUUUGAUUCAAUCACAUUACAUUCCAGUCUACCACAUCACAAGCAUGCAUUUGAUUCAGACAGUUCAAAAUCAUAAAAGUAUUGUCUCUUCGAUAAAUUAUUAAAAACUGCAAACAGAGAUCAUAAGGCCAUAGUUCCAUCAUAAUGCCCUUCCUUUAACUAUAAAUUUCAGACUUUUAACCCAUGAAAAAAACACCAAGUAAAUAUUAACAUAACUUAUUGAAUACGGAAAAAGAGAUUGAAACAAAUUGACUUAAGUUGAAUAGCAAGAAUUCAAGGAAAGAAGAACCUGGGCAGCGAAAAUUGCAGAGGUAGUCUUUCCAGAGCCACCUUUGCCUAUAAAAGUGACCAACUUUGAUGAAGAAUUUUGAUCAUCAUUAUCAUUCAAAGAAGCAGCAGUAAUGGAUGGAGGAGUAGCUGUUGUUCUUCUAAGCAUCUUGAUUUUACAAGUUCGCUCUAAAAGAGAGAAACCAGAAUCUGGGUUUGCAAAUAGCAAAGGUGAGGAAGAAAAGGUAGCCAUCUUUUGCAAAUUCUCGGCAAAUUUCAGCGGGUCUUAUCGCAUGGGUCAGUGACUCGGUGUUUUUGAAGGUGGAGGAGCUGGUCUCUUGUACUGUUUGGCUUUGGUUGUCAAUUAGUUAGUGAGGUAGCGAUGCAUUUCGUAGUAUUUUUUCUUGUAAAUAUAUAAAAAUAAUAUUUUUUAAAAAAUAAUUAUUUUUUAUACCAGAAAUCUAAACUAUCUAAAAACACUAAAAAAAUAAUUUUAAAUAAAAAAAUAAUUCAAAAAAUCAUAAAACACAAUUUCAACUUUAAAAUACAAACAUGUAAUAUUUUUAUAUUUAGAUGUUGAAAUGGGAUAAGAAAAUAAUAUAAAAAAUCAAUUAUAAGAAACAUAUAAACAUGCUAAUUAGGGCUUAAAUCAAAAUAUCCAUUAAACACGUGAUCAUGAGAAAUAUAUAAGAAAGCUAACCAAAUUCUUGUUAUUCAAAUAAUCUGAUAAAAAAAAAAUUAUAAAACUUUUUUAUAGAAAAAAAGCAAUGUUAGCUUUUCAAACUCGUGAUCUAAGUCACUAGAUAAUAAUCAAAAGAAUGUGGAUCAUAUUUGUAUAAAAAUUAAAUGAAAUAAAACAAUGAGAGAUAAAAUUAAAAAAUAAAAUAAAAUAAAUCAAGAAAAGAAAAAAAAUAGCAAUUAAAAUAAUAAGGACCAAAUUAAAUAUAAAAAUCAAAUGAAAUAAAAUGUUGAGGCACAAAAUUGAAAAAAUAAAUAAAUCAAUAAAUCAAUGAUAUAAAAACAGUAAUAAAAAAAUAAGGAUUAAAUUAAAUAUAAAAAUUAAAUAAAAUAUAAAUAGAUAAAAUUAAAAAAAAUCAACUUUAAAAUGCAUUAAAAGCAAUAUAAACUGAUAUCACACAUUUAAUUUUUAAAAAGAAUAGUAUGAAAAUUGAGGUAAGAGGAAAAAAAAAAGAGCCUACUAAAACCUAACCACAACUCCUUGCAUACGCACUUGAUCAUCAAGAAAGAAGGUGACACUAUGAUUUCAAUGUUAUCGUUGGAUGCGACUUUUCAUUGCUAGGAAAUGCAGCACGCUUUGCCCAAAAAAUACAGAUGCUUCCAUCUUGUUGCUUGUGUUAUGCAUAUGCUAAUUAUUUUUUUAUUUUUAAUUAUAUUUAUAUUUGUUAAAAGACUGAAUUGUUAUUUAAAUUAAUUAUAACUAAAAACCAUUAGGGAAACACAAAAAUGCCUCUUAAUGUCAGCUUCUUUUUUAAAAAAAAAUUUUAAUGGUAGUUUUGUUAUUAUAUUAUGCAAUCAAAGCAUAAAAAACCUUAUAUCCGUGUUAAAAAACCUCUGACCCAAUUUUAUUUUUAAUGCUUUUAAAAAUAUUCAAGUCAUUGCAGUGCGUGUUAAGAAUAUAAAAAGAAUAAUAUAUCCGUGGUCAACAUGACAUUGACAAAUAAACCUUAUAGAAAAAGAUAAUUUUGAUCCCAAACGACCAAUUCCUGGUUGUAAAGGUCAACUAUUAUAAUCCACAUUCAGGUCACAGGACACGCACGGAGCACUUUUUUUUUUAAAAAAAUACGUGCAGUGCAGUUUUUUUUUCUUUGUCAACACUCUAAACUCCAUCGCCUCCUCUCUCACGAGCACCGACAAGAGAUUGUGGUCGAAAUAUCGAAUUGGGGUGAUAAUUCUAGAGUCGGGAAAACAUUUCCCCACCACCCUUGAUUGCCGAAAAACAAUAAUAUCUCGCUAGAUUGGUAGCCAAAGAGACAAAUCUAACUAAAAUCGACAGGAAAUAAGGGAGGCCCCAAACUAGACUUCACCAUCUCCGAGUCUUCUUUUUUUGAAAACCACCAAACGCCGUUCAAUUCCGUAGGAUCUUUGGCAUCCUCUUCCCUCCGGAUCUCCAUCAAUCACCAACAAACAUGAACGAUAUGUUAUGGUAGAUGUACCACCCACACAGUCAAUUUUAGCACGUACGAUUUUAUUUUGAACUCAACAAAAAAAUAAAUUAUACACAUAUUUUCCAGACCAGGCAUAUAUUUACCCGUGGACAUAUAAUUGGAUGCAUCUAGCUAAUUGGCAUCUUUGACAGCCGGAAAUGAAAUACUUGGCAAGGAACUGGCCCUAGGUGACCUUGGCAUCUGAGACUGUUGAUUCCCAUGACCAUCAUAGAAUAUCACACCUGAAAAUUCCGGUGGCUGACAUUUCUCUCCCAUCAAGAUUGAUUUUUGCCACAGCCCACCUUCUUCCAGUCCCCCAGCUUCCUCUUUAAUUCCAACUCCGGGUACCGUAGCGUCUUCAUCAUCAGCACCAUCUUUUUUCCUGUCCAUAAAUGGAAUUGCCUUGUUACUAAUUUUUGGCCGGAGUUUCUUAGGCGAUGCUAAUGGAGAUUUAUUAGGUGUAUCACAUUUGGAAUUGCUUGUUGCAGCGCCUGAGUACUGAUGCUUCUGCUGGGUGCGGCGCCGUAUGCUAUGUUUGGCACAUAAUGCCGCAAGAACAGAAACUGAGAUAAACAAGCCAAUUGCAAGUGGGACGGACCCUUCUAUGUGAUGACCGACAUGAUCAGCCAUGAGUACACGUACCAUGUUUCAUAGAAAUGGUUGUGGAAAAAUGAAAAUGGCUGCUUGCUUGCUAGAGUUGUUGCAUGUUCUUGUUGGCGGUGAUGAAUGGCAUAUAUAUACACAUAGAGAGAGAGAGAGAGGGAGGCGAAGUAAACUAUUAUUAGCCGGUGGAAGGUGAGGAGAGACGACUUUUAAAUAUUUCGUAGUGCCAUAAGUGUCUUUAAACCUACAAAGGCUUGUCUACGUGUUUGUUGGGAGUCUUAGCACACUAAUAAUUAAUAUGUAUGAAAAGUCAUCUUACAUAUUCAUAUUCAGAUGAUUAACAUUAGCAGCUUGGUUAUUUAUUAAUUGCAAGUGAAGGUUCAUAUAUAUCAUUUAUCACUGAAUAUAUCUUAUAAAUCGUCCAGUAAUAUCUAGUGCAUUUACUUCUUGCAAUAUUGUAAGGGAGUAGUUCAGUCAACGCUAACGUAUGAGGCCGACUUCCAAAGAAAUGAAAGCUAUGUAGGUACUGACCAUUUCUGCUUCUUCGUUAUUGGAAAAAACAUUGUUAGGGAUCUUUUAAUUAGUUUAUAUAUAUAUAUAAAGAAUACGCGCGCAAAGAGGAUCACUGACGAUGGUUCUAUUUCUUAGUCUUUCUUACUAUAACAAAAUCAAGAGAUCAAGAAAAUUAAAAAAAAAAAAACUCAAUUAUUCGUGUGAUUGAUUAGUCAAAUACUAUAAAUUUACUAAUAAUUCAUUGAUCCACACCACAAUACCGUUUCCUUGUUUCCAAAUAAGCUGUGGUUUAUAAUCUAUAUGCAUCUACUGAUUUGCAGAUAGAAUUAGUCAAAUGCUCCUCUAUUGUAUUAAAGACGUGUUCGUCAUGCUAUUGGCAGCUAGCUAGACAAUUAAAUGAAUUAAUUGGAACGAAGAUAAAUAAUGAUAAAUAUUGUGCGAUCAUUAUCAUUUGAUUGAUCAUCACCAUAUUAUAUAAUUAAAUUUCAGUUCUUUUAAGUUCCGAACCUGUGUGGCAAACAAGAUGUCACGUAUGAUUAGUCGUCACCUUUUAGAUAUAUGUCAGGCGUGGUGUUCCAUGCAUGUAUAUAUAUACACGUAUACAUAGAUAAUACGUGCAAAAGGCAGAAAAUAUUGUGUUGGUAUCUCCAAAAAAUUCUUGAUGUUUUGACUUUCUAGAUGAAUGUUUUGUGGGACAGCCGAUUUCUAUAUACUGGUUUGUGCUAAUGGGGUUAGGGCACCUUCGACUUCAUGCUUAACUUACAAAACCUCGGGGUUUACCAUCUGUUAUACAAAGUGAUAUCAUUUUCAAUUUGCACUUCUACUUUUUCUGUCUAUUUCAUUUGAGACAUAGUUUUAAUUUUGAUUUGAUUUGCCUCUAGCUAGUGUGUCAUCUAAUUUAUGUGUAAUUGAUGAUAUUUCUCUAAAAAAAAAAAUAUCAAUUAAAUAUCCCAACUUAAUUUUCCAUACAAUCUUAGAGCCUAUUUAAAAGUAGAGUUGCGGUUGCUUUUCAAAAGAAUUUUUUAUAUAGAAAUAUAUUAAAAUAAAAUUAAAAUUAAAUAUUGUGUUGGUAUCUCCAAAAAAUUCUUGAUGUUUUGACUUUCUAGAUGAAUGUUUUGUGGGACAGCCGAUUUCUAUAUACUGGUUUGUGCUAAUGGGGUUAGUGCACCUUCGACUUCAUGCUUAACUUACAAAACCUCGGGGUUUACCAUCUGUUAUACAAAGUGAUAUCAUUUUCAAUUUGCACUUCUACUUUUUCUGUCUAUUUCAUUUGAGACAUAGUUUUAAUUUUGAUUUGAUUUGCCUCUAGCUAGUGUGGCAUCUAAUUUAUGUGUAAUUGAUGAUAUUUCUCUAAAAAAAAAAAUAUCAAUCAAAUAUCCCAACUUAAUUUUCCAUACAAUCUUAGAGCCUAUUUAAAAGUAGAGUUGCGGUUGCUUUUCAAAAUCCUUUUCAUAUAGAAAUGUAUUAAAAUAAAAUUAAAAUUAAAAUUUAACUGUAUAUUUUUUACUGAUGAAGGUUUUAUUAACAAAUAAUUUCAAUUUGAGAAAGAAAAGUUCAAAAUCAGAUGUUUAAGGACUCAAUUAAAUUUUGUUGAAAGAUUAAUUGAGUUUAUGAAGGGUUUGAUUGAAAGAAAAAAUGAUUUUAAGGUUUUAAUUGGAAUAAAUUAAAUUUAGAAGUCAAUUUAAUCAACAAUUGAAGGAAUUAAUAAGAAUGGGGACUUAAUUUAAUUGAACUAGGAAUUAGUUUAAUUAGUGAAAUCAGGGUCUUAAUUGAAAAAAUAAGGGCAAGGACCAUUUUGUACAUGUAGCCGAAAUGCAGGGGUCUAAUUGUACUUGAUCUAGGGGCACGAUUGUAAAUAGCCAUUUUAGUCAAGAAAACGGCGCCGUUUCGAAGGUCACUAUUCGUCUUCUUCAGCGGGCCAGACCAGGAAGAAGAAAAGCCGCCCCCGCCCCACGAUGCAUCUCCAUUACCAUUGUAACUGUCCUGCGAGUCCUUUCAUUUUCCGGGCGAUCGCAUGGCAUUCUCUGGCUUUAUAAAAAGCCAGAGAAAGGCCACGCGAGGGAGAGGAACGAAAAAACAGGGGGGAACGAAAAACAGAAAAACAGAGGAGACACACACAGUGACACAGGGAACCAGAAGACAGAAAGAACGAACAGAGGAAUCAACAAAACAAAAACAGAAGGAGAGGGAGAACGAGAAAAAAAAAAACGGAGGCAUAAAAACAGGGGAAAGCACACAGACAGAGGGCUUUUCACACAAAAACGAACAACACAGGGGAGACACGCAGGAGGAAGCGAAAACGCAUACAAGGGGGGUUUCCAGAAGAACGAAGACACAGAGACAAAACCCGGGGGGGACGAUCGUACUGGACCAGGAAGAAGAACAACGAAACAGAGGAAACAAAAAAAAAACCGAAGAAGCAAAAGGAGAAGACAGUGGAGCAAUACAGGGGCAGAGAAUAAUAAAAAAAAGAAAACCCAGAAAAAGGAUAGAGUCACGAACAGAGGACCAACAACACACCAGUGCAUUCGGCUUCGUCUCCAGGCAAGUCUCUUCUUUGCAUUACAAUCCACGCACUGUAGCUGUGAAUUAUAAUUCACUUGCUACAGUAGCAAGUGAAUUAUACUUCACUUGUUUCUUGUUUCUUAGCAGGCGUGCGUCGUCACGAACGCAUGCUGAACAAAGCCCGCCGGCCGGUCGGAUCCAACCUAAUUAUAUUGACUGGAUUCAAUUCAGCUCAAAAAAACAAAAUAUAAAAAUAUAUAUGCAUUGAUUCAAUUUAUUUUAUUAGUUGUUUAUUCACUAACAUUAGACAUGAAUAUCAUAUUUUUUUUUAGACUAUGUAAUAUUUACUAAUACUAUAGUUAAAAAUAUUCAUAGUUAAAUAUUUAUUAACGCUAGAAUCAAGAAUAUUACAAGCAGAUCAUCGUAACAUAAACCAACAAACUCUUAGCAAUUUAAGACAAAAUCAACAAUGCAGCUUAUUUCAGGUAGGACACUUAAAGAGUGAUAAUAUCUUUAUUUUUACGUAACUAAACUCAUAUCAUAGAAUCUCUGUUGACCAGUUAGGAUUUUUAAUGAUCAUAUUAUUAGGUAACGAUUUCUUAAAUAAGACCUUUUUCUAUUUAAAAAAAUGAUGCCAAAAAUAUGUUCUUUAAGAUUGAUUUUUUAAAGGAUGUUGGGUGCGAUAGACGGAAUUGAAAAAAAAAUAUAUCAAGAAAAAAAUUGAAAAAAAAACAAUUAAAAGAAUAAUGACAAUAUUUGAUUAAAAAGACUAACAAAAGCAAACAACUAGGGAUGGAAUUUAAAAUAAAAUUCAAUUAGAAACAAUCAAAGUAAAUAAAAAAAAUUGCAAUUAAGAGAAGAAUGAUUAAAUCAAAAGAAAAAAUAAAUUGAAGAGUAGGUAUAAUUUUUUGCAUGGCCAAUAUGCAAUCUAAGGAAGAAAUAGAAGGAAAUGAAAGAAAAAAAAAGAAGCUAAUUAACGUCAAAUCAUAUCUCAUUACUAUACAAGCGCCACUUAGAAAGGAAGAAGACGUAGAGACAUAUCAAGAUGUGCUGAAAGCUUGAUUUCAACCACCAUUAUAAAAGGGUAACAAAUUUACAUAGUAAAGAUACUUGUGUAAUUUAAUUGUUCUUGACAAAAUUAAAAUGAUCAUAUAACCCUUGGCUCAAAGGUUCUAAUUGUGUGCGCUCUAAGAGCAAUACAAUUAUUGCACUGUUAUUAAAAAAAAAUAAAAAGAUAAUGCUACCCCUAAUUAAAUUAAAAAUGACAAAUUAGUUGUGUGUAAAGACCAUCCCACCCCUCAAGUAAAGUUUAAAAAUUUAAAGAAUGAAGAGUAAAAGUGUAAUUUUAUUCUAGCCUUAGAUACAUUUCAUUAGGGAUGAGUUAUGCUAAAAAACUCACAUGAUUUAGUAUUUUAUUUAAUUUUCAAAAACACAAAAGAGCCAUAAUUAUUUCUAUUCCUAGAGGAACAACUUGAAGUUACUAAAUAUGCUGAAAAAUUAGAGAAACAUGAAGUUGUGAAAUCUAAGACAACAUGAAGUUCAUGAGCAUGUUAAGAUUAAAUUAACUAAAGAAAAGCUAGAACAAGUUAUUGAAAUUGCUCUGAAGACUAAAGUUGACAUCAAAGAAGAAUUAAGUGUGGUUAUAUUAAGUAUUAAUGUUGGAUCAAUCUUCUAAAAUUACCAAUUCAACUAGUGGUCAAGACUUUGUUCUUAGGGAUGACUAAACAUGUCAACUAAAGUUUUUAUCAUUUCAAAAAGAUGGUUUCAUAUUACCUUGAAUUUUUAGAUCUCAAAGAGUUUCGUCUAGAUUUUGAAAUUUUACAUAAAUAUAUCUUUGCUGAAUUUAGAUAUAAGGUAUAUGAAGUAAGCUACCUCGUGAACAAAUUUGUGACAAUGUUACAUUUGACAAAUUUAUUCCUUUGACAUGGUUUAGUUUAAUUGUUAAUAGUUAACUUGAGUACGAGCUUUUCAUAAGUAGAAAGGACUGCGGUGGGGGCAUUUUAUUUAUUAUUUUUGACUUACUUAUUUUUAUUAUAUUAUUUCUUUGGUUGUUAAGAUUUUUUUAAUCUCAAGAAGUUCUAGAAAAAUUCAGUGCACUAUAUGGAAAAAUAAAUAUAAUUUUUUAUUCGAUUAUUAGAUAUUUAAACUAAUAUUUUAAUAAAAGAUUCUAAAAUCUCUUUUUCCUAUAGAGAUACAAUUUCAUAAUCAUCAAAAGGUCAAAAGACCUUAAAAUAAAAUCCAAAAUUUACUACUUAAGAUUUUCUUUAUUUUUCUUUUGUGUCAAGAUUUUUUUUUCUAUUUAAAUUACAACUUUAACUUAAUUAAGAUUUUACCAAUUAUAAUAUUUUUCUUCUAUUUAAACAGCCUUAUAGACUUUCUUUAUAUUAAAAUGUACAAUUUCUUAUUGAAAGUAAUUUUUCAGAAUUGUAUGUAUGGGAAAUUGUGACUUUCUUUAAUCUCAGUCCUGUUUUUUCUGCUGGUCUUGCGAGGAGCGAGGUUGAAGGCCCGAAACCUUGGAGGCUGGAACACUUGUGGGAGAUUUGAAACUGUGAUUCAUUGCGCGCAUUGGAUGAGAGGCCACUGCUAAUCCCAUCAAAAAGCUGGAUUUAUCUCUCCCAUUUAAUUUAAAAUAAUAUAAAAAUGCAAGUUCUGGUUACCGCGAAUCAAAUAAUUGUGUAUCCAUACAUGGAAGCAGAUGGAGUAAAUUCUCCCGUUCUUGCUCAAUAUAUCUCCAGGAUACUCUAACCCUGUAGAUUUUAGUGUCAUCCAAUUUUAUGAUUGCAAACUGACUGAUAUAUAAGUGUCUAAAUUAAGAUUAUAUUGAAACACAUUCUAAAAAAAGAGAAAGAUUACAUUGAAAACGUAAUGUUUUUUGAUUGAAUAAAGGUGUUGAAAGUUUAUUUGAUUGAAUUAAUUAUACGUACAUGAUGGUGGAAAAACUGAUUGCAUGUGACAUACUACAAGCGUGAAACACAAAAUCUUUGGAGUUCUCUAUCCGAUGAGAUGAGAUUUGAGUUAGUAAGUCACUUUGCACUUUUCUCCUUUUGAGGGGAAAAAUAAAAUCACUAUUAGCUCGCAAUUCUAAAACAAGUAUUUGCAUGAACUCUAAGUAACUUUGGGAGGACGAUCCAACCGUAAGAAAAAGACUCAUUUAUCGUGAUGUUGUUUCUAAUUUUUUUUAAAAAGUGAUACAUCUUUAUUUGAUGAUUAAUCCUAUAUAUUUGUGAUGAUAUCUGAAAUUUAAGUCUCAACAUAUACAUGACAAAGAUUUUUGUAAAAUUGUACAUGUCAUGUCUAUGCGUGAAAGAUGCAAUAAAUGCUUAUAUAAAAAAUCAAACUAUCUCUACACUCAUGUUUUAACCAUAAAAAAGAAAACAUACGAAGCUGAACUAAUUGCCUUGCCUCAAGUUGGCUGUAAAGCUCACAUAAUAAAGCUCUGGUCAUUGGGAGCAGGAAUUAAUUAUAGUCACUGCAUAAUGGUCUCUUCAUGGGGUGUUCAUGAUUUUUUUUUGUAUUUGUGAAUCGACCGUGGAGUGUUUUUUUUCUUUUUCUUUUUUUGAAUAAAGAUGAUGUACAUUUGAUUAUGGCUUCACCUCCAUGGAUGUGGAAAAUCCAAAUUGUGUGCAAAAAAUCUAGCAAAUGAUUAGCCACAUAAAUCUCGAUGCAUAUUCCAUGGAUGUGAAAAAUCAAGCUUUACGUACACGGGUGUAAGUGGAUCCAACUAAUAUUAGGGAGUGAAGCACAGACCAUAUAUAUACAAAGAAACAUAUCCAAGAUGCCUAUAACAUAUACCCUGGAACUGGAAGAAAUUAACGCGCAGGACUGCAGGUUCUUGGCGAUGAUGAUUGAGCGGUGUGGAUUUUAAGAAAUUUGAAUUAAAUAAAAGUAAUGUUUUCUAGAAGAUAUCUUUAUCUGCAUAUCUUUUUCAAUUAUCAAAUCAUGAAAGAAAUACAAUUCGUUUGUAAAUUUUGGAAUUAUCUAGAUAAUAAUUUGUGAUUUCCAAUUGUAUCCUCAUCACUGCCAAUAUGAAUGCUUUCCAUUGACAAGUUACCCUCCAGGACUCCCAAGCAAGCACCCAGACAAGUUGGCUCCUCUUCCAUUGCUUCAUAGGCCUCGAGAGUCGACAACAUAGAACACAUGCAAGCUGGAGAAAAGUCAUCGAACCUAUUUACUCUAAAUUUCGACGCUGUUGCAGUAAUUACAAUUAACUUCCACCAAAUGGAAAUAGAGCAACUCGAAUACACACACACACACACAUUACUUUUAGGUUUUUCUAAUUAUUUGGGCUCCAGUUCCUUUAAGUAAAAGAAAAAAAAAGAGAGAUAGAGACUAAAAGUUGAUCAGUCGGGAGUUAACAGGUGUAGCAGUACAAUUCAAUGGGAAAAGAAAAAAAAAUCUAAUAAAAACACAUCAAAACAAUCUAAAAACACUAUAAAAAAUAUUUAAAAUACUUUUAAAACAUAAAACAAACUAUAUCUUAAUCUUCAAGGGAAAGAAAAGAAUGCUUUAAGCAAAUUACCAAAGAUAGUAUCAUUAUUAUUAUGGUGUCGAACUUUAGGUUAAUAUCUUCUUCUCCCAUGCCGUGCCGUCACAGCUACUCGUGUUUCCUACUUUCCUUGAUAUCUCAUAAAACAAACAAUUAAUAGAUAUAAUAAUUAGUUGUCACUUUUAUCAAAUCGAGCAUCAUCAUUGUAAUCAUGAACUUAAACCUACAAAAUAUCUGUAUCAUCCCUUUCUGGAGAUAUAAUGAUAAUAUACUUAAUACAUGUACAAGCUCGAAUUCACAAUAUCAUACACCAUGAUCCAUGAAAUCUGAAAUUUAAUGGCUUCAUGAGUGAUCAAAAGAAAAUCAGGUGAAGCAGCAAAAGUUAUAACAAGUAAUUACAUCAUACAGUACUCAUGAAACCUCUCUCAAACCAUCAAUGGUGCAAUGGGUUAGGACCGGUGGGGACGAGGCGCUUUUCGACACCAUAACGUGGAUCAAUCUCACUUCGAGCUCGUUUCUUGUGCCCCUCUUCCUCAGGCAUAGGUUGUUGAUGAUGUUUUUGAAAUGGGGUGAAGUCGAAUUUCCUAGCAACAAGUUUUCUGUUGAGGAAAGGGCGAUAAGAGAAUGUUGACGAUUUGCUUAUGUUGUUGAUUUGGUCUUUGGUGGUGUUGAUCUUGGACUUGAAAUUACACAAUUCAUGAAACACUAACAAGAGAAGGGAGAGCCAAAAAACGACGCAUAGAGUGUGAAAAAUUCUCAAGGCCAUGGAGGAAGAGUAGGAGGAGAAGGGUUUGAAGAGGAAGCAUGGAGCAAGAAAUGAUCAGGAGCGAAAGGGAGGAAAAAAUUAGUUUCUAGAUGACGAAAUUCUAGAAAUUUGACAGCUUGAAAGUGUAGGAGAGUACUGAAAGUUUUGCGUGUUCUUUUUUCACCUUUCAUGAGAGAUUUGCUUGCACCUUUUCACGGUAAUUUAUUGCUGAAAGAGAAAGGAGAGGAGGGGUAGACCCUUUCUCAAUGAGAGUUCCUUAUAAAUCAAGCAUCAAAAAGGAGUCAUUAUAAGUACAAUUGUCAAACCGCGAAUUAUAUUACGUUUGAUUAUGUUUGUCUUUCAACCGCUUAAAACCAAAUAUAGUGCUAGCAUAUGCGCGCGCGCGCGAGCAAUAUAUAUAUAUAUAUAUAUAUAUAUAUAUAUAUAUAUAUAUAGAGAGAGAGAGAGAGAGAGAGAGAGGACCUGUCUAGCUAGUCUCGCUCUCUCUCUAGAAGCAUGAUUCUGUGGAAGGGAAGAUCCAUACGGGGUUUGAGUGAAUUGCAACUAAAUAAAGGGGUGGGGAUAUGCAAUCCACAUUUUCCAUGGCUAAAGCAAUGUGGGUACUGUUUGCAAAAAGUAAGGGACAAAGCAACAGAUAUGGAACUGUAUACAGUAAUGUUAUGUUCAAAGCCCAUUGUAUACAAUUAAGUUCUCAAAAAAUAAAAUAAAUAAUACAUGUAUAAAUACGAGCGUACAUUAGUAUAAUCUUACAAUCUAAAAAUUUGGAAAUCUAUUCUAUAUUCUGCAAAAAAAAAAAACACGCUAGGACAUUAGCAAAAUUUGGCAAUGCUUGUUUUCUAGGUGAUGUUUGGCAUUGUAAUAUUCAAAUUAUAUUUUUGAAAAAAUUUAAUUUUUUUUAAUUUUAAAAUAAUUUUUAUGUGUUUUUGAAUCACUUUAAUAUGUUAAUGUAAAAAAUAAAUUUUAAAAAUUAAAAAAAAUAUUAUUUUAAUUUAUUUUUAAAUAAAAAAUAUUUUAAAAACUAACCUUUACUAAUUUCAAAAGAGAUGGUAACUAAUGAUCAUGUGGCUGGAAAUUAGGAAGAUACCCAGUGAUCUGUGCUUUUCAAUUAUUAAUUAGUGGAAGUUCAACACAAUAUUGAUGUUCAUUUUUGUAUUACAGUUCAAUUGAAUUUUUUAAUUUUAAAUUAAUUUUUUAUUUUAAUUAUUUUGAUAUCAAAAAUAAUUUUUUAAAAAUAUUUUAAAAAAUAAUAGGAAAAUACACUAAAAAAUAAUAAAAAAAAUCCUUUACUUUCUUCUUCGCAAUCAAAAUCUUCACAGUAUAUGUGGGGUACUUGCCAAUUGCUACAUGGCAACAGCAGUUGCUGCCCCUCUGUGGAUAACAGGAACAUGUCCUUGAUAUAUUGCAAUAAUAAUACCACAGGAAAGUUUUUAAACUAGAGGAGCCAAGCCCCCUUUAAAAUUAUUGUGACAUGAACUUAACAUUUUGAUUGUACACUUAUCCCAAUUGAAAUCAAUUCAUUAAUUAAUAUAUCAUUUAUCAUAUCAUGAGUUACUAAAAUGAAUUCCGUGAUAUUAUAACAAUGAAUUCGGCAAACUUAUUAUUCCUAGCAUUAUUUGAAAAACCUCAAAGGAUAAAGUGGGUUCGAAUUAUAAAAGAAAAUUUUUUGUAGGUUUAAAAUUAACUUAUUAGCUUAAUUUGUCAGAUUCUAAAUUUACUCUUAAAAGAUUAUUAAUUCAAGUCUUACAAACUUAAUAAUCAUUAAAGAUUUACAUAUUCAUUAAUUUCAGGGCAUGUUGGAUUAAUUGAGGUGUACACAAACUGAUUUGAAUACCUAUGUUAAUAAUAAAAAAAAACAUAUUAUUAGUUUUUUCUUUUAUUAAGAUAAUAUACACACACAUACAUAUCUUAUUCAUAAAAAUUUCUAAACUUUUGUUUUUUU